rnacentral:lncRNA from 1 species
UUUAUUUUUAUGAGUAGGAAUCAAACUCGGUACUUCCGGAUUUAAAUCAGUCACACACAUUGCACACAAAUCACAAUGAGUAGCAAAAGAUAAACUAUUGUUGCAUAUACCACAAUGUCUGAAGGAUCAAAAUCACAAUGUUACACUUACAUUUUGAGAUUCAAUAUUGUAGCCAAGAAAACACUUAUUGGCAAACAAGACAAAACCACACUGAUUAUAGUUUAGAACAAUCAGGACAUGGAAAGUAACCUCUGGCUUGACAAUUUACACCAGCUAUCUUCUUCACCUGUGAUUCGCGAUUACCGAUUGUUUCGAACAAAUCAUCUAUAAGGUUAAAACUAAGUAACCUCCUUCUUUGAUCGACCCGGUUCCUUUGCAUUUAGCGCAAGCCGUUCUUCCUACAUUGCCACACCGCUUGCACAACCCAAUGAGCUGCAAGUAAAGGUUGUGACAUAUAUAUGUCAGAAAAGAGGCAGCAAAAGAAUAAUCUAUUAAAGUUUGGUUUUGUUUAGAUAAACAACUUGAUCAAACACUAAUAGCACAUGAACUUAUCAUAUAAGUGGUUAUUUGCAUAGAAUUUUGACAGAGAAGAAGUUUUGCAGUAAUGAUAACUUGAGAGCAGAGAAGACAGAUACAUUAAAGGCACAUGUUAUUGACAGAGAAGAAGUUUGCAAGAUAUGUUUAGAACAGCCAAAACAAACAAGGAAACUGAAAAAUCCAAGAAAAGUGAUUCUUAAUACUUUCUCCACACAAAAAUUAAGGAAUGUCAACGAAAACAACAACAUAUGAUGAUAAGAUAACAACAUUCACAGAAGCUAAGAAUCUAAUUACUGAGAAAUAUUGAACACAACCUUUCAAUAAUCAAACCUAUCUCCACUUUCUACCAACCUUCUAAAAUUCAGAAAUAGUACUUUAGGAUUCAGCACAAAAAGGCAUAAACUUUGAUUUGAUUUCUCUAUCUAAAUGCUUAAUGAAUGAUUUAGAGAAAUUGUUUUCAAAAAUGGGUCAUUGAAAGAUAUCGAGAAACACUUAACAAAAAAAAUAGAAAACGAGUUAGAGGAAAACGAGAUAGAACCUGCGUUGAGAAGAAGAGAAGAAAACAUCGAUUUUGGGAGCAGCAAUGGUAGCAGAAAGAAGCAGAACACCCACUGCCAAACCAGCUACUUCGCUUGCCGUAAUAUUAUCCAUUCUCUACUAUUUCGCGAACCAUAAAAGAAUCUUCAAAUAUCGCUUCAAUAUUUCAAUGUUAGCAAUGUUUUAUCCAUUAAAUACAAAUACGCAGACGCUUUUAACAACUGGCCCAUUAGCUCAGUUGGUUAGAGCGUCGUGCUAAUAACGCGAAGGUCUCAGGUUCGAGACCUGCAUGGGCCAAAUUCUUUUAUUUUGAUUUCUUACCAUUUAGCUACGGUUUUGCCGCGGGUAAUCCGCAGGUAAACUGGGUUUUCCUAGUUUUGUAAUUAGUGUAUAUUUCUUAAGAUUUUGUAAUUAUUAUUUGGCUUAAUUUGUACAUGAAGUUCACAAAUAUUAUCAGCAUUUUCUUUAACUGAAGCAUUAGCAGGAUUUAUAAUUAGAGAGAUAAAAUUAUAAUCUUAUAUGAUUUGUAAAAGUGAAAGUAUAAAUGUAGGAGUAUAUAUUGAUUUUCUUUAAAAUUGGAUCUAAGAGACAAUGACUAAGUUAAGUGAUAAGGAAGAAGUUGAUAGAUUAGUCGGUUUUUAGUGUAGAGAUCCUCAAGAGAAACCUGCUAGGGUGUUAAAACAUGGUGUUUAAUGUUAAUAGAAUUCUUUAAUGUAUAUGAGUUGAGGAGUUAUAUUCAAAUUUCUAAGGUAAAGUCUCUUCAUCUCGCCCAACUCUAUGAAGUUAUGAAAAUUAGGUAGCAAAGCUUAGUGAGGUGUUUUCUCUAGAUUUUGUGUAGUUUAAAGAAAACCUCUCAAUUCUCUUUCUUGGAUGUUGGUUUUCUAGGUGUCGUGUCUAGAAUGGGAGUUUAUAAAUCUUACUCCCUUCGUUUUAUAAUGAGUGAUUUAUUUAGAAUAAAAGAGUGUUUCAAAAUGAAUGAUCCAUUUUAAUUUUCAAUACAUUUUUUCCAAUUCUAUCCUCUAAUUAAUAUCAUUUUCAAUACUUGAUUAGGGCAUUUUAGUAAAAGUAUCAUUCUCUUUCUUCUAUUUUUUUUCUUAAUCUGUGUGAAAUGGUCAACUGGGUCACUUAUUGUGUGACAGAGAGAAUAUUGCUUUGCGGUUAAAGUCUAAUAUAAGUGUAGAUGGCUAGAGAAGAUAAUUAUUUGGAUUGGACAUUUGUGACGCAUAGGUUAGUUUUAGGGUGAAGUGUGGUGUGUUCUCGAGAACUUUAACUUUGUAUUUCUAGUGUGGAAAAGAUCAAUCUUGGAGGUUUUAAUCGACUAGAAGGGACUACGAAUUUUAUCGGUUUAACUAACUUCAAAGUAUGGUUUGAAAACAAAUCUUUUGCGAUGAUAAUAAAUAUGACAAGUAAUCAGCAAGGAAAGUAAACAAAUUAAAGGCAGUGCAAUGAAGUAAACAUAUUAAAAGUGGAGCGAGAAAUAAACAAACUAAAGGCAGUGCGAGAAAAUAAACAAAUUAAAGGCAGUGCGAGGAAAUAAACAAAUUAAAGGCAAUGCAAGGAAAUAAACAAUUUAAAGGCGAAGCGAGAAAUAAAUAAUAAUAAUAAUGCGAAUUGUAUUAAAAAUCUGCUCCAAAUUGGAGACUUGAAUCUGGUACAAACUUGAAAUAAAUCUGACUUGAAAGUAAAAUGACGGGAAGAUUAACUUCUAUUCUAUGGUGCUCAAAACUUAAUUACAACAAUGGUGCAAUAAUCCUCCGAUGUGAAAAAUUAUUGCUUUAACUAUGUGAUUCUAUGGCCUAUGCUGCAACUAGACUUGGAUGCCUACAACUAAAGACCUAAAUCCUAUUUACAGUGUAACAACACCUCGAAGGUUACAUAACACUUUCAAAAUUCGUGUGGAGAAAAAAUAUCUAGUCGUGACCUCUUCCUAGCAAUCAUCCUUGACUGUGCGCGGAAUAGGAAGAUGGCACACACCAUCUAGGCAUGGCGUCCUCCAUGUGUACAAAGUGUGGACGACGUGGUCUUGUGACCGUUGAAACAUGGGUGAUAACUUACACAUCAUGGCUACCCACAUGGCCAACGCCAUGUGUGUAUUUUCCACUGAAAAUCUCUGAUUCUUUCUCUUUUCGCUUCCUUUUUUUCGUGAAAGGCUUUAUUUAAGCAAUGUACCUAAAAACAAGACAAAAGAUAAGCAUAACGCAAGAAAUUAGCAAUAAAACUAUAAUAAUCAUGUGCAAUCCGAGCCAAAUAUGCAGUGUGUUUCAGUGUUAUCGAAUUCUUCCACACUUAAAUCUUUGUUUUUCCUCAAGCAAACUCUUAUGAGCACAAAAGAAAAGAAUAGCAACACACAAGUAUCAAAUUUAGGCUAAAUACUUUUAGUUCGAUCAAGGUUGCGUAGAUAGGUACUAACUCGUGAACUAAGGAUAUCGUAGUAACACUUUCUGCGGUUUGCGAUCAUAAGUUUCCUUCCUAUACAAACCAAUCCACAAUAUGUUAUUAUACCAAGGCCUAACUUACUAAUUCCUUUUUCAUCCUUUUUCAUUCAUGCACAAUCACAUUAAGCCCGUUAUCUUGUACUCACAUGGUGAACGAACCUGUUGGUGACCCUGAUCCAAAUUUGUGUCAACAUUCAAUAAUUUUUCUAUUUAGCACAUACAUAUAAGCAUGAGUUUUAGAAGUUUCUCUAUCGUUGGGUUAAAUAAUCGGGUGAGGGUUACCUAACUUAGAGGGUGAAUCCUUUUUCAAAUUCUUAGCUUUUCCUACAUGUAUGUUUUCUUUUUCUUUCUUUUUAUUGGAUCAUUCACCUAUUUGCAUCGGUUUGUUCAUGUAGUGGUAACUAAGAUAGUGCUGACUGCUAAAAUAAACUAUUUAAGGAUUAAUUCAAGGGUGAUAUUUCAAGGCCACAUCUUAAUAAGUACCUGAUUUGGUUCCUAUAAUUAAGAAACUUAUGAUGUCAUAACGAUAUCAAUUUUCCCAAAGUUUUCCCAAGUCUCUGCAACCUAUCCUAAACUUGUCUAACAAUCCAAAAUUUUCAAAAUAACAGUUGUUUUGUUAUUAAAAAAAUGUCAUGACUUAAGAAAUGGGGAAAAUCAGACAAACAACACACACAACUCGUCAAACACAUGUAAUCAUUAAAAACUAACUAGAAGCAUAAUUAAAACUAACUAGAAAGCAAUACAAUUAGAAAACAUAAAUAAAAAUGAAAAUAAUAAAUAUCUCCUCCCACACUUAAACCGAACAUUAUCCUCAAUAUUUCGAUAAAGUUGAAAAGCGAUAGGUAAAACCUGGACAACACUACUGCUAACCACUAGUACCUUUUCCUCCCUGAUCGAAACGUCGAGGAUGACGACUCAUACUGCAGUGAUGGGCACUCUAUGAAAUCUCGAGUUGCUCAACCCGUGUUGUCAAUGCAGUGUUUGACUCUUGAAGUAUUAUGAUGUUCCCUAGUAUAGAAGCAUGAUUCAUCUCCAUAAGGUCAAGGUGAUUGGCCAUGUAAGCUUGAUGGCACUGCUGUUGAGAAGUAAUGGUGUGCUGAGACUCUAUGAUGGUCUACAUAGAUCAUUCAGUCUGUCUCUGAGACUCACACAUGAAGUCCAUCGCGUCUCAUUGAUGCUCAUACAUGGCAUACAACAGACUGUUGCAUUCUUCUUCACGAGCUCUUUGCUCUCUCAGCAUUUCUUCAAUUAAGUAGUGGCCGGUGGAUGUACCUGCAAAAGAGUGAAUACAAGGUGGUUUCUGUAGGUAACAUUAAUGGCAUUAGAAUAUUCCUCCCAUUGAAGUUGGUGGCAAAGGCAUCUCACACUUGCUUCAAGACCAAAGGCUUCUAGGCAGUUGGAGUCAGGAUAUUUGGUUGGUAACAAUGGUCGCUCAGAAAGGACCAUAUACCAUUUCCUCUGAGUAUCAUCUCUGAACACAACAUGGAUAUCGUCGAAGCUCUGUAUCCUGAAAAAUAUGGUUAGUGGAGAAUGUGCUAUGGAGAGGGAUGGAUCUGAAACCUGAAACAUAAACAUCACAUAAGUCAGUCAUGUUAAGCAAAUAAUAAAUUAAAUAGUUCAUAUUUUGAAAAUAAUGGAAAAUAAGACAAAAAUUAAUAAAUUAAUAAAUAUAAAAUGGUCGUGGGUUGCCUCCCACGCAACACUUGUUUAACAUUGUUAGCUCGGCGAUUAUAGAACUCACAUCGUAGAAGUAGAAAUUGGUGGUUCGAUCAAAGUAUGGCCAGAGUAAUAGGUAGGGAUGUCACCUCCGUCAUAGUGUUUCAACCUUUGUCCAUUUACUACGAAAGGACUACAUGAAUGGUUUCAGAUUUCUACUGCUCUAGACUUUAGGACUUUAGUGACCUCAUAAGGGCCAGUCCAUCUUGAGCAUAAAUUACCAGGGAAAAGCCGCAAUCUAGAAUUAAAGAGAAGUACAGGGUCGCCUACGUUAAAUUCUUUUUUAAAAAUUCUCUUGUUAUGCCAUGCUUUAGCUCUUUCUUUAUAAAUAAUGGCAUUUUCAUAAGCAUCACGAGGUAGUUCUUCUAACCUAUGGAUGUCAAUAAUGCUCUUGUCACCGACUGCUAAGUAAUACAUAUUAAGGGUUCUGAUGGCCCAAUAUGCUUUAUGUUGCAGCUCAAAGGGUAAGUGACAAGAUUUUCCGUAAACCAACUUGGAUGGGGUUUUUCCUAUAGGGGUUUUGUAAGCGAUCCUAUAAGCGCACAAUGCUUCUUGUAGUCUCAGGGACCAAUCUUUUCUGGUUAUUGAAACCACUUUUUAUAAUAUUUGCUUAAUCUCCCUAUUCGACACCUUUACUUGUCCAAUAGUUUGCGGAUGGUAGGGUGUUGCUACUUUGUGAUUAACUCCAUACUUAUUUAGAAGUUUAUUAAAUAUUCUUGAUAUGAAGUAUGAUCCGUCGUCGCUUAUAACGAGGUGAGGUACUCUAAAUCUAGGAAAUAUGUUGUUUUUGAAUAAUUUUAUGACCACACGAGUGUCGUUGGUAGGUGAGGCUACAACCUCAAUCCACUUAAACAUGUAGUCAACAACUACUAAGAUGUAUUUGUUUCCCAUUGAUGAUGGAAACGGUCCCAUGAAAUCUAUUCCCCAGACAUCGAAGAGUUCCACUUAUUGGAUAUUUCUUAAGGGUAUUUCGUCAUCUCUCAAGACAUUCCUGGUGCAUUGACACCGGUCACAUCUGACAAUAUAGGCAUGGACAUCGCGCCACAAUGUUGGCCAGAAAGGUCAUGCUUGGAGUAUUUUAGCGCAAGUCUUAGAUGUGUCUGCAUGUCUACCAUAUGGUGCAUAGUGAUAAUGUUUGAUUAUAUUUUCUACCUCCUCUUUGGGCACACAACGACGAAAUAUUAUGUUUGCACCUCUCUUGAAUAGAAUGGGUUCGUCCCAAUAAAAGUCUUUCACAUCUUGAAAUCACUUCUUCUUUUGUUGAUAGUUAAGCUCAUGAGGUAUGAUAUCGGCAGCUAGGUAAUUUACAAAAUCGGCGUACCAAUGUAUGUUUGUUAGUGUUAGAGCAUUUUGAAUGUUUAAUUCUAAAAGGUCGAGGUCAUCACUGUGAUUAGUUCUGACUACUACUAUAAGUCUAUCAUAGGUAAAGUCAUCGUUUAUGGGUACUAGGUAUGAUUUUAAAUGUUCUAUCCUCGAAAGGUGGUUAACAACCAUGUUUUCGAUGCCUUUCUUAUCACGAAUCUCCAAGUCGAAUGCUUGUAGAAAAAGGAUCCAGCGAAGUAAUAUAGGCUUAGCGUUCUUUUUGCUUAACAGAUAUCGAAUGUUUGUAUGAUCUAUGUAAAAUAUAAUUUUGGCUCCAACUAGAUAAGAGCGGAAUUUGUCAAUAGCAAAAACAACGACGAGGAGUUCCUUUUCGGUUGUGGCAUAAUUAAGCUGGAUGCAUCUAAGGUUCUACUGGCGUAAUAAAUUACAUGCAAUAUCUUGUCUUUCCGUUGCCCUAAAAUAGCACCAACAGCCUAAUCGCUUGCAUCACACAUAAUUUCAAAAGGUUGGUUCCAAUCGGGAGGUUGCGUAAUAGGUGCGGAGAUUAGUGCCUGUUUUAAGUGUUUGAAUUCUUCGAGACAUUUUUCUUCGAAAAUAAAUUCAACAUCUUUCAUUAAAAGGUCAGUUAAGGGUUUGGUUAUUUUAGAGAAGUCUUUGAUAAAGUGUCGAUAGAAACCGGCAUGUCAAAGAAAACUUUAGACUUCCCUAACUGACUUAGGUGGUUGGAGGUUUUCUAUAACCUCUAUCUUGGCUUUGUCAACCUCAAUGCCUCUUUCAGAUACUAUGUGUCCUAACACUAUACCUUUGGUGACCAUAAAAUGACAUUUCUCCCAAUUUAGAACGAGGUUCAAUUCCACGCAACGUUCUAGAAUUCUUUCAAGGUUGGCCAAGCCGUUUUUAAAACUGCAUCUGCAUACCAAGAAAUCGUCCAUGAAUACUUCCAUGAUCUCGUCAAGGAAAUCUGUAAGAUUGACAUCCUACAACAUUGAAAGGUAGAUGGGGCAUUGCAAAUUCCGAGCGACAUUCGUCUAUAGGCAAAUGUUCCAUAAGGGAAUGUAAUGGUUGUCUUCUCUUGAUCAUCGGGGUGAAUAAGAAUUUGGAAAAAUCCUGAGUAUCCAUCUAAAUAGAAAAAGUAAGAAUGUCUUGCUAGACGUUCAAGCAUUUGAUCAAUAAAUGGAAGAGGGAAAUGGCCCUUCCUAGUUACUUUAUAAAUUUUUCUAUAAUCGAUGCACACACGCCAAUCGUUUUUAUACGUUUAGCUACUUGUUCUCCUCUCUCGUUUUGCACGACUGUGACACCUCCCUUUUUAGGUACCACAUGUACAGAGCUUACCCAGUUCAAAAAUUUGAUAAAUUAUUCCAGCCUCUAGUAAUUUCAGCACUUUCCUUUUCACCACAUCACUCAUUAUAGGGUUUAUCCUCCUCUGAUGUUUUCUAGAUGGUUUAGAGUUUUCCUCCAGCAUUAUCCAGUGCAUGAACACAUAUGAACUUAUCCCUUUGAGAUCUAAAAUGUUAUAACCUAGAGUUGAGGGAUACUUUCUCAAUACAUAUAAGAGUUGAUUCGUCUCAUCACCAUUUAAGGUAGCGCUAACUAUGACUGGACGAUUUAGUUCUGCAUCCAAAAAAUCGUAUCUCAGAUUCUUGGGUAGCUCCUUAAGCUCUAUUGAUGGUUUCUUAGGACAUGGCAUAUGGUCUGGGUGAGUGUUAAGCAUUCAUAAAGACUUUCAUCUAUAUAAGGUUUCGUUGAUCUUUCAAAUCCUUUGUCCUCCAUUAUGGGGGUCAAGGGUAAUUUAAUCGUUUCAGUUGGUUCUCCUUGGUCUAACUCUCUUAUGCACUCAUCAAUGAUAUUGAUGGCAUAACAUGAGUCAUCUAUGGUUGGUUCCAUUAGGAAUUUUGAUAGUAUAAAUUCUACUUUUUCAUCACUAACUUCAAAAGUCAUCUUUCCUCUCUUGACAUCUAUUAUGGUUCCAGCCGUUGAUAAGAAUUGUCUACCUAGGAGGAUUGGGAUUUCGUCGUCUUUUUUAAUGUCCAUGACAACAAAAUUUGUUGGAAUAUAGAGUUGGCCAAGCCUAACUGGAAUGUCUUCUAAUAUGCAUAUUGGAUAUUUAACGGAUCUAUCGGCUAAUUGAAGGGACAUCCUAGUUUUUUGCAUUUCUCCUAGGUUUAACCUAUUACAAACGGCUAAAGUCGUUAAGCUUACACUGGCUCAUAAGUCCAGAAGUGCUUUAUCGAUAAAAUGAUUUCCUAAAAUACAAGGUAUAGAAAAACUUUCGGGGUCUUUCUCCUUUUUAGAAAGUCUUUUUCCAACAAUAUAGUUACAUUAUAAGGGUUUAGGGUCAUUAAGUCUACGUUUGUUAGUUAAGAUGUCUUUAAGGAUUUAGCAUAAGAGGGUAUUUGGGUAAUAGCCUCAGUGAAUGGAAUCUCAACGUGGAGUUUUCAGUCACUUUUAUGAAUUUUUUGUAUUGGUUAUAUAAUUUGGUUUGUUUUAAUCUUUGUGGAUAAGGAAUUGGUGGUUUAUAAGGAGGGGGUGGUACAUAUAUUUCGUUAUCCUUCACUCCUUCAUUAUCUUUGGCUUCAUAAUAUUUUUGUUUCUCAGGCUCUACUGGUUCAUCUACUUGUUUCUCAGGUGUAGUCACAAAAAUUUCCUUUAGGGGUUCUAGUUUAUUCAACCCGGGGUCUAUUGGUUCAUCGUAAGUGGUUCCACUCCGUAGGGAAAUAGUGUUAGCAUGCCCCUUGGGGUUGGGUUGAGGUUGUCAAGGAAAUUGUACUCCUGGCGUAGCUUGAGCAACUUAUUGUUGUGCCACUUAAGAGAUUUGGGUUUCAAGAAUCUUAUUAUGGGUAAUCACAAAAUCGACCUUUGUGCCUAAUUGUGUAAUCAGUCCAUUUAUAUGAAUGUUUGGGUUCAUGAAUUCUUUGUUUUGCUGAGUUUGGGAUAUAAUAAAGCUCUCCAUGAUUUUCUCAAGAUUUGAUUUCUGAGGAGCAGCUUGCAUAGGCUGGUUCGGUCUUUAGGAUUGGAAUCCUGGUGGUCUUUAAGGUGUGGAGUUUCGAGUAGGAUUGUUAUUCUUAUAGGAAAAGUUUGGGUGAUUCCUCCAUCCAGGGUUAUAAGUGUUUGAAUAAGGGUUUCCUUGGGCAUAAUUGACCUGAUCUGGGUUUGACUCAGCUAAAAGAUUGCAUUCAACUAUGAUGUGUCCUUGGUUCCCACAUAUUUCAUAUUCGAGUUGAACUGUAGCUACGGUAGUUGUAGGGUUAACAAAUAAACUUUUGACUUUUUGGACUAUGGCGUCCAUUUUGGCACUCGUAUGAUCUAGGAAAAUAACUUCGUAAAUACCUCCUUUGGUUUCUUUCUUUUCUACUGAUGCUCGUUCUAUUCCCCAUUGGUAAUGGUUUUGUCCCAUAUCUUCAAUGAGAGCAAAAUCUUCGGGGUAUGGUUUGUUCAUCAAUGCACCACCGGCGACAACAUCGAUGGUCAUCUUUGUGUUAUAGAUAAGUCUGUUACAAAAGGUAUCAAUUAUGAGCCAUUGGUCUAAACCAUGGCGUGGACAAGCUCUUAAUAGUCUGUUACAAAAGGUAUCCUUGUGCGUAAUUCACUUGAUCGGUUGGGACUCCUGCCAAUAUCUGACAUUCUAGUGCAUUGUGCCCAGGAGUUCCACAUAACUCAUAGUUUGGAGUCACGGCAGCCACGGUGGCUGCGGGUGGUAUGGUCAAGUUGUCUAACUUUUGAACAAGGGCAUCUACCUUUGCAUGGACGUGGUCAAGGCUACUGAUUUCGUACAUUCCACUUUUUGUUUGGGACUUUUCUACUGGAGUUCUUUCACCUCCCCAUUGGCAAUGGUUUUGGGCCAUGUUUUCAAUGAGUUGAUAGGCUUCGUUGUAUGGCUUGUCCAUAAGUGCACCGCCCGCGGCAGCGUCUACUGUCAGGUUUGUGUUAUACAGAAGCCCAUUAUAAAAUGUGUGAAUGAUAUCUCUCCCACACGUCGUAGAGAGAUUCUACAUCCUUUUGUCGAAAUCCAUUGAUUUGAGCUCUCAGCAUAGCAGUUUUGCUUGGCGGAAAAUAUCAGGAUAAGAAAAUGUUCUUUAGUUCUUCCCAUGUUGUAAUUGAGUUGGAUGGCAAGGAUUGCAACCAAGCCCAAGCUCUGUCUCUUAGAGAGAAAGGAAAGAGGCGUAGUCUUAUCGCAUCUUGAGAUAUACCAUUCGCCUUCACAGUGUCUGCGUACUGCACAAACUUGGUCAAAUGUUCAUUAGGGUUGUCCGUAGGAUUUCGAGCAAAUUGAUGUUGUUGGACGGCUGAUAAUAAUGAGGGUUUCAGCUCGAAAUCCUUUCGAUUGAUAGCAGGGGCAGAAAUGUUGUUAUGAGGUUCUUGUUGGGACGGGGUAGCGUAGAACUUAAGAGGACGAUUCUGUGAUUCCACUGUAGCCAUGGUUGCUUUUUCAACUAGUUCACCAGUGGGAAAGAAGAUGUCGGGAAUAUUGUACCUUCGUUGGUACUCUAGUAUUCGGAGUCUUAAAUAUAAGAAACACUUUAAUUCUACGAUUGGUGGUGCUAAGUUGUCGCCUUGUGAGCGAGUACUUGGCAUACAAUCGGGGGAAAUAAGGGAAAGAAGAUUAGUUUUUGCCUAGGCUAUACUGUGCAACAAAAGAAUCGCACUAUUUGACUAAAUCAUGUCCCCGGCAAUGGCGCCAAAAACUUGAUACGUCUCAUGAAUGUAUAUAGAAUAUAGUCUAUCGGGUACUUGACUGCAAGUGCAUAGUGUAGUCGUUUUAGUUUUAAAAGAUAUCGAACCCACAAGGACCGAUGGUCAAACUAAUGCUACCGACGUUGCAAUGUUUAGCUAAGGAAAUGAUUUUAGAGGUUUGGUUGAACAAAAAUUAAAUCUAAGGGAAGUUAAGUCUUAAGAAAAUAUAAAUAGGAGGAUAUCAGUAUGCAGUGCAUUAAUCAUCAGGGAUUCGAUAAGUCACCGGUGUAUAAUUUAAGUACCAAAUAUCUUUCAGUAGAAAAUACUUAUUUAAAAGGCUUUAUCUCACACUCUCGUGAUUGUUGAUUCAGACUAUACCUUUAAGUCAGAUCCGGUGUAUAAUUUAAGUACCAAAUAUCUUUCAGUAGAAAAUACUUAUUUAAAAGGCUUUAUCUCACACUCUCGUGAUUGUUGAUUCAGACUAUACCUUUAAGUCAGAAUGUACGCUCUCGCUGUCCUAUUUGAAGUUAAAAAUACUUUUUGAAAAUAAAUAAGUUCUAAUUGCUUUUAAAGUGCUCUCGCUGUUUUUAAAAUCAAUGCCUAGUUUUUACUAUCCAGUUCGACCCUCACGCUCUUGCGAUUGUCGGUUCUCACCUUAGCUCACUCUCGUGGCAAAAUCGUAUUAAAUAACUUCUCACUCUUGUGACAAAGUUAAUUAAAUUUAAAUUUAAAACGACAACCAAAAAGAUUGUUUGAGGAAAGAAAUUUUACACCGAUUAUUAUUAAAUCCCGUCUAAUUAAAUUGUUACAUACUGAUACCGGUAGUUUAGCCGGACAUGUUAAAUAACGCAAACACAGACGAACAUAAAUAGAUCAACAAUAAAGUAAACAUGAUUAUAGUAAUAAUAAAGCAAUAACAAUAGUAAUUGAAUAAAAACCUGGAAAUUGGAUUAAUAGAAUACGCCGAAUCUUGAAGUACUUGAGCAGUCCUCCACAGGUCGGUAGGAUUCUGCUUCUUCGAAAUAAUUGCUUAAACUAAAUUAAAUAAAUUGUAGUAGUUCCCCAGUGUAGGAAACUACUACUAUGGCUAACUGAGAAACGAAAAGGGAAAAGGGAAAAUCAAAGCUCUGAACGGUAAAAGAGAAUAAUGUUGCUGAAGAAAAAUAAAAGAAAAACAUAAUUGAUGUGGAAAAAUAAAAAUGCAGAGUGGCUUCAGAGAGGAAAAUUAGGAAAAUUCAACGUGCCGUGGAAAAAUAAAAAAUGCAGAGUGGCUUCAGAGAGGAAAAUUAGGAAAAUUCAGCAUGCCUGUAGGUUUCCAACUUCCAUCCUUUUAUAUUCCCCAUUAGGUCUUGGCAGUUGAGAGAAAUAAGGAUGACUUGGUUGAGUGAGGAAUCCACGGGAAAGUGGCCGAGGAACGAGAAAUAAGGGCCUGGUGGAUCACUUCUGUUGACAUAUUCAAAGCGCUAAUUUUGGCCGCGUGACGUUCGUGAUGGGUCUGUGACGGUCGUGACAGGCUGGGCGUGACGGUCGUGACAGGCUUUGUGACGGUCAUCACAUGCACAUAAUUUGUAUUCUCUGCUUUCCUGCUGUUUUUGAAGGAGAAUUGCGACCCAAAGCGCAGCGGAAAUUAAAAAAUUUCUCCUUUAGAGAUCCUUACGAAUGGUCAUGAUCAGUGAUAGAAUAUUUACCUCUUAUGACGGUUGAAGCCUUUGGUGAAGAUCUCUUCUGACGAUCAAAACCCUUUGAUGCAGAUCUCUUGUGACGAUCAAACCCUUUGAUGCAGAUCCACUAAACGAUCACGAACGUUGAACGAUGACAACGUCUCUACUCAGUCCACACGAACGGUUUCCUUCAAUCUCAGUGCUAGCUGGUACGAAUGAAGGCUUUGAGUAAGAGAGAGAGAGAGAGAGAGAGAAAACGAAAAGAAUGCAACCGCACUUAGUGCUUCUGCACAAGGGUUCUAUUUAUAGAACCACUUGUGUGGGCUUCAAGCUAAAAGCCCACUUAAGUGUAUUUUGGCCCAUAUCUUAUAAUAUGCCCAAAAUCACUUAAGCCCAUGGUACCUUACCAUAUUUCGUAUUCUACUCAAGUACACCGUACCUUACGAUGUUCUAUAAUUCACUUAAGGGCACCGUACCUUACGGUAUUCCUUAGUUACUCUAUCUCUCAUCAAUCCGUCCUUUGUGUGUGACCCUGUAGGUUUUCGUGACGUUGGCAAUUAUAUUAAAUCACGCAUUUAACAUAAUAAACAGUGAGCGGUAUCUAGCAACACAUCACUGCUACCCAAGACACGAAAAUGUCAUGUGAUCUGACAAUUCCUUCUGUGAUAAUACUUAUGUGUAUAAUUACCCUUUUGCCCUUAUGUCUAUAUUGAACACAAGGCAUAGACCGUGUCAUCCUUGUCCAGUUCAAUAUUGGGCCCAUAGACAUUUAUCCUGUUAUGCAGGAUGGGCAAAUUCCAUCUAGGUCACUCAUGUCCCUCAGCAUGCUUCGUGGAGUACCCAUCAACUGUCUUUAUGGUUAUCCAGUUACGGACAACGUUGGAUCAGCAAUAAAGCACUCGACUCUACAUCUAGGAUCCAUAGUGGUUUCAGGUCGAAGAGUGGUAUACACUAUUAUCACCAUGAGAAUAACUUAUGACACUUUGCAUAACUUUCUAUAUAGUAUUCUCAUAGCGGGUCAAUCCGGUAUAAAUAUUACUCCUAAUAUUCAUACCUAUGUUUAAGACUUGAUAACUCUUUAUCCAUGAUCCAUGAGAUGUGAUCAUCAGUCUACAAACAUAAUAGUCUUAAUGCUUUAAUGUUAUCCCACUUCACACUAAAGCUCGACUACGGAUACUUUAAGAAUAGUGUCCUUAUGUUUAAUGUGUUCUCAUGAUUAAGUCACACUUAAUACAUUAAACGGACUAUCUAUUCCAGGGACUUUAUUAAUCAACCAUAAUAAAGAAAAUGCCUUUUAUUAUUCGAUACAAGUACCAAAAUGUAUUGGCCUCUAGGGCUUACACCAACAAUCUCCCACUAGCACUAGAGCCAAUCAGGCAUACCCCGUAUGCCCAUUGAUCUAGUAUGGCCAUCAUGCUUCUGCUGCGCAAGAGGCUUUGUCAGUGGGUCAGCUAUAUUGUCAAGUGUAGGUACUUUACAUAUUUUCACAUCUCCUCUAUCUAUUAUCUCUCGAAUGAGAUGAUAACGCCUAAGUAUGUGUUUGGAUCGUUGGUGAGAUCUAGGCUCCUUAGCUUGUGCGAUAGCACCAUUGUUAUCAUAAUAGAGACCAAUGGGAUCCACAAUGCUAGGGACUAUGCCAAGUUCACUAAUGAACUUUUUGAUCCAAACAACUCCCUUUUCUGCAUUUGAGGCAGCAAUAUACUCGGCCUCGGUUGUAGAAUCAGCAACUGUAUCUUGCUUUGAACUUUUCAAGCUCACAGCGCCACCAUUUCAGCAAAACACAUAACCAUUGGAAUCAUUCAUAUUAAAGCGUCUCAGCACCUUGUCUAUGUACUCUGACUUAGGCCAAGCAUUUUAUGAUCUAUCUCUAUAGAUUCUGAUUCCUAAUAUAUAGGCUGCUUCACCUAGGUCCUUCAUAGAUAAGCAUUUCCCCACCCAAGACUUUGCUUGUUGCAGGGUAGGGAUAUCGUUUCCAAUGAGUAAUAUGUCAUCUACAUAUAAUACCAGGAAUACGAUCAUGCUCCCACUAACCUUCUUGUAGACACAAGGCCCAUCUUCGUUCUUAACAAAUCCAUACAGUUUCACUGUUUCAUCAAAACGAAGAUUCCAUGAGUAGGUCACAGGCUCAUCUUGAUCCAUGAGUAAUACAUCACCUAGAUCAGAUAUCCAUAUAUCUUGGUCAGGUGACGUAUCCUGCCUGACCUACGCUGGUCUUGUUCUACUUGAGCAGGUUGCUCUUACACAACUACUUGUGUCUCCUGCUCCAAUUCCUCCAUAGGUGUGUCGAUGCUUUGUGAUUCUUGAAUUUCUUCAAGCUCUACUUUCCUCUCACUGGUUCCUUUGGAAAUAAAAUCCUUUUCUAGGAAAACUCCAGUUCGAGCGACAAACACUUUGCCCUCAAAAGGAUUGUAGAAGUAAUACCCUUUUGUUUCUUUAGGAUACCCCACAAAUAAGCAUUUAUCAGAUUUGGGCUCAAGCUUAGUUGAAAUUUGUCGUUUCACAUAAACCUCGCAACCCCAAAUCUUCAUGUAAGACAUAUGUGGUCUCUUACCACUCCAUAUCUCAUAUGGUGUCUUAUCAACCUUUUGGAUGGAACACGGUUAAGUGUGUAAGCUGNNNNNNNNNNNNNNNNNNNNNNNNNNNNNNNNNNNNNNNNNNNNNNNNNNNNNNNNNNNNNNNNNNNNNNNNNNNNNNNNNNNNNNNNNNNNNNNNNNNNNNNNNNNNNNNNNNNNNNNNNNNNNNNNNNNNNNNNNNNNNNNNNNNNNNNNNNNNNNNNNNNNNNNNNNNNNNNNNNNNNNNNNNNNNNNNNNNNNNNNNNNNNNNNNNNNNNNNNNNNNNNNNNNNNNNNNNNNNNNNNNNNNNNNNNNNNNNNNNNNNNNNNNNNNNNNNNNNNNNNNNNNNNNNNNNNNNNNNNNNNNNNNNNNNNNNNNNNNNNNNNNNNNNNNNNNNNNNNNNNNNNNNNNNNNNNNNNNNNNNNNNNNNNNNNNNNNNNNNNNNNNNNNNNNNNNNNNNNNNNNNNNNNNNNNNNNNNNNNNNNNNNNNNNNNNNNNNNNNNNNNNNNNNNNNNNNNNNNNNNNNNNNNNNNNNNNNNNNNNNNNNNNNNNNNNNNNNNNNNNNNNNNNNNNNNNNNNNNNNNNNNNNNNNNNNNNNNNNNNNNNNNNNNNNNNNNNNNNNNNNNNNNNNNNNNNNNNNNNNNNNNNNNNNNNNNNNNNNNNNNNNNNNNNNNNNNNNNNNNNNNNNNNNNNNNNNNNNNNNNNNNNNNNNNNNNNNNNNNNNNNNNNNNNNNNNNNNNNNNNNNNNNNNNNNNNAACAUGCACCUCGCUUUGGCGAAACCUACAUUAUUCGAUACUAGUCUUGAUGAGUGCUAAAACUUGGAAAGCAUAAACUUAAUAUUUUAGUUUGAGGGAAUUGCAAUUGUUAUGAUCUCACCGGCUUAUUUAUCAUAUAAAUCGUCUCUCACAUGCAUCAACAUACAUUCACAUGCAUCAACAUACAUACACAAUGAAACAGUUAUGGCCCCUAGCGCAAUUGUUCUCCCAAGCCAAUGAGAGAACCUAAGCUAACCUAAUAACGAUCUAAGCUUCUCCAAGCAAGAUCUUCAAGGUUGUCCUCCUUUAGUAUUGAAUUCUUCUCUAAGCUUCUCCAAGCAAGAUCUUCAAGGUUGUCCUCCUUUGAUCUUGAAUUCUUCUCUUUCUUCAUAUCAUUAUUCUCCUUUGAUAUUGAAUACUUCUCUUUCUUCAUAUCAUUACAUUACAGAAGAAACUCGUUUUACAUACGAGGGAUUGAGAUGAGAAAAGAAUUUACAUUAAGAGAUCAAAAGGAGAGGCACGACACGCAGGUCGUAUUUAAAAACCCAAAACAAAAUAAAAGAAGACUAAGGCCAUAACUGAUCACAACAAGGCAACAAUAAUAAACACAUUAUUAUUAUUAUUAUUAAUCUCAAUUCCUUUAAUGAAUUAAAACCAAAUUAAAUUUCGGCGACCGAUCACACUACGCAGAGUUAGCCGGGGUUUCCAAAAUUUUAAUGAACAAUUCAUUUGAAAUGGACAUUGUUUUUGCAUCAACACAACUCUUGCGUAGGCACAAAAUCAGAAACCCAAAAUUUUGACUCUGGGAGUGUGACGACCAUCACAGGCGUGUGACGAGCGUCACAGGCCAUGUGAGUGUGACGAGCGUCACAGGGCACGUUACGACCGUCACAGAUCAAAAACAGAAAAGCCUAAAAUUCUGUGAGUGUGACGACCGUCAUGGGUGUGUUAUGAAGUUACUUAAUCAUGAGAACACGAUUAAACAUAAGGGACACUAUUCGCUAAAGUAUCCGUAGUUCGAGCUUAUGUGAAGGGAUAACAUAAAGCAUUAAGACAUUUAUGUUUGUGAGACUGAUGAUCCAUUCUCAUGGAUCAUGGAUAAAGAGUUAUCAAGUCUUAAACAUAGGUAUGAAUAUUAGGAGUAAUAUUCUAUACCGCGAUGACCCGCUAUGAGUAAUCUAUAUAGAGACACGUUAUGCAAAGUGUCAUAAGUUAACUUGCUCAUGGUGAUAAUAGGUAUUCACCUCUUCGACCUGAAACCACUAUGGGAUCCUAGGUGUAGAGUCGAGUGCUUUAUUGCUGGAAUUCCAGACGUGGUCCGUAACUGGAUAACAUAAAGACAGCUGAUGGGCUACUCACAGAAGCAUGCUGAGGGACAUGAGUGACCUAGUGGAAUUUGCCCAUCCUUGCAUAACAGGAAUAAAUGUCUACGGGUCCCAAUAUUGACACUAAGAGCAUAGGUAUGACGACCGUCUAGACUUGUGUCAAUAUAGACAUGAAGGCAAAAGGGGAUCAAUUGAUACACAUCAAGUAUCUAUCACAGAAGGAAUUGUUCAGAUCACAUGACAUAUUUCGUGCCUUCUGCGGUAGCACGCAGCGCUGAUGUGUUGCUAGAUAGCCGCCGUCACUGCUCUAUUAUGUUUUACCAAUUACAUGAUUUAAUAUAAUUGCCAAAACGCGCGCCGGAACAACCUACAUGGUCACACACAAGGACUGGAAUUGCAUGAGAGAAUAGAGUAUACUACUACGGAAUUAUCGUAAGGUAACGGUCGGCCCUUAUGCCGAUUACUAUAAGAACAUAGUGCAUGUAACAGGUUACGCGUGGGUACAUCUUGAGUUAUGCAAUACGACAAUAUAGGUACAGGUACCAUGGACGUAAGUGAUUUUGGGAUAUUAUAAGAUAUGGGCCAAAAUACACUUAAGUGGGCUUUUAGCUGUAAGCCCACCACAAGUGUGGUCUCUUGAAAUUAGAACCCUUGUGCAGAAGCACUAAGUGGCGGUUGCCAUUCUUUUGUUCUUCUUUCUCCUCUCUCUCUUGCCACAAGCUUCAUUCUAACCAGCUAGCACUGAGAUGAGAACGGAACCGUGUCAGUAGCGACCUGAGUAGAGACGUUGUCACGUGCUUCACUAUGUGUGCAUCCGUUUAGUGUGAUCUGCAUCAAAGGUUUCGAUCGUCACAAGAUGAGAUCUGCAUCAAAGGUUUUGAUCGUCAGAAGAGAUCUUCACACAAGCUCACCGUCAUAGAGCGUAAAUAUUCUACACUGAAUGCAUGACAUUCAAGGUCUCUGAAAGGAGAAAUUUUUUAAUUUCGGACUGCGCUUUGAGGUCGCCAAUUCUUGCAGUGUGUACAGGCCCAUUACGACCAGGAUGAAUCGGAUAGGUGUUUAAUGUUCGCUGGCAUUAAUAUUGAUUAAAGACAAAUGAAUUAUUGAAUUAAACGGUGCAAUUAAAUUUGGAUCAUGGGUACGAGCUUCGGAUGAUGAUGUUGAUAUGCUUCGGAAUCCGACGAUUAGUAUGGAAGAAGCAGCUGAGUACAUCGAUCGUCCAUAGGUUACACAGAUUAGAGCAUCGAACUUUAUAUAUAUUACGUAUCUAUGCAAAGGUACCGGGGAUAUGUUAUGUAUACGUCAUGUUUUCAUUCAUCGAAACACUAAAUGAUUGUUUCUCUUGAAGCAUCCAAUGGUUUCAUUUUUGGCUUCGGGAAUUCGACAAUAGUAUGGCUAAGAAUGACCUGUUGACAAUUCAUACAACUGAAUCAACAAUCGGAGGUUGUUGGACGCCGUCUGAAAUUGGCGCCAUUAGUGGUGCGGUGACGAGCCAAGGCGAUGUGCCGGUCAGGAGUUGCUGAAUUUAGGGCUUGCGAAGGAGGCUCCGUAGACCUGUUUCAAAGUCCCUAUUAUUGUUGGAGCCUGCGGAAGCUCUGUGAUGCGAGCGGUUGACUGUUCAAAGUUUGUACUUUGGGCUGCGUGAGUCGUGUGGUACGAGCGUAACAAGCGUAACAACUGAGUAUGUGUGACGUGCGUAACCACACCCAUGACGGUCGUCACACUACAGAAUUUUAGGCUUUUUCUUUUUGAUCUGGGACGGUCGUAACGUGUCCCCUGUGACGCUCUCACACUCACAUGCCUGUACGACGCUCGUCACACCGCUGGAUGCGUCACACUCCAGAGUCAAAAUUUUGGGUUCUGAUUUGUGCCUACGCAAGAGUGUGUUGAGGCAAAAACAAUGUCCAUUUCAAUGAAUUGAUUAUAAAAUUUUGCGAAACCCGCUAAUGUCUGCGUAGUUGAGUUCGGGCGCCGCAAAUUAAAUUGUUCUAAUUCACCUUAAAGUGGAUAUCUGAGGAUAAAAGAAUUAAUAAGGUUGUUUUUAUUGUGUGGCGUGCGUUGUGUGGAUCAGUAUGGCCUUAGUCUUCUUUUAUUGUGUCUUUGGCGUUUUUAAAUGACGACCUGACUGUCGUCGGCUCUCCUUUGGAUGCUAAUCGUAAAUCUUCUUUCUAUCUCAAUCCUCGAAUUGCUAAAACGAUGUUCUUUUAAUGGUAAUAUAUGAAAGAAGAGAAGCUAUUCAAUUGAUCAACAGGAGAAUCAAAUAAUGAUAUGAAGAAGAGAAGAAUUCAAGAUCAAAGGGAGGCAACUUGAGAUCUGCUUGGAGAAGCUUAGAAGAGAAGUUCAAUACUAAAAGGGACGACAACCUUGAGGAUCUCGCUUGCCGAGAAGUGUUAGAUCAGGUUACUAGGCUUAGCUUAGUUCUCUCAUUGGCUGGGGUGGAGAACAAUUGCGCUAGCGGGGAACAUAAUGUUUCAUUGACUGCCUUAUUUACUGUGAUGAUGUGUAUGUAUGUUGAUGCAUGUGAGCAGACAUUAUAUGAUAAAUCAAACGCCGGUGAGAUCAUAACAAUUGCAAUUCCCUCCAACCUACGAAUAUUGUAAAGUUUCAUGCCUUCCAAGUUUUAGCACUUCAUCUAACGCACUAGUAUCGAAUCUAAGUAGGCUUGCCAAACCGAGCUGCAAGUUUUAUAUUGGUCUAUGUUUCCUCGGACUCUCCCGUGCGAUGCGGAUAAUGCUAAUAUCCAACUGCUAAAACAAUGGCCCGUCAAACUAACUAACAAAUUAUAGCAACAAUCCUAUAUUAUGUUUGCUCUUCAAAGUCUUUUAGCCACUCAUCCAAGACUAGUAUCGAAUAUGAUGGUUUCGCCAAGAGCGAGUGCAUUUCUAUAUUUGCGUAAGGUGCGAUGGGCAUAAUUGUAAUAUCAACUGCUAAAACCAAUGGCGUCAAACUAAUCUUAUAUUGUUCCUUCAUAUAUGUUUACGAAUGCAAGAGUGGACAUGAUCCCAUAUGAUGGAUCAUGGCAAUAAGGAUUUAUUCACCCAUACUGGCAAACUUCCGAGAGUUGCUAUGAGAUGAGUACAAUUUGAAGCGAGUUCCCUCACCUAAUAUAACCUAGUUUUGUCUGUAAUCCUGCGCUACUGCGCGACUUAAGAACGAAGCUGAAAUAGCGAGAUCUCGAUCCCACUACAAAUACUCCAACGAUUUUUCCGAAUCAAAUGAUGAGCGCCGUUCAUUUUGUUGAGGAUAAAAUAUGGGGGAGCAUAGUUGACUUAAAGCGCCUACAUAAUAUGAUCAAUGAUACUGUAUAUUUUCUUCAAUCCUUAUUCGGUAGAUAACCAUGACAGCAAAAACCUCUACAACAUACUUGCCCGCAUCAAUCCUUGACAAAGAAAAUUGUCUGGACAAAAUAUUUCGGGGCAAUUUUGGAGCCGAAACCUGAGGAUUGUCCUGCAAACAUGAUAACAACGGCCUGUUGCAUGCUUUGGAGCCACUGCUUUCUGAGAAGAACCUCUAGUUUGCCACCUAAGGACAGCUUUAUAGAGGAUGCUACGAAGACGUGAUGCUCAUUGAAAAGGUUGAUCUCUGCUAAUGCUCCAUGGACUCAGAACUUGCAAAGCAACAGGAACAUGUCAGCGUCCGACUAUGAUCGAACACCUGAAGUUGCUCUAUCGGCAAGCUAAGGCGAUGGAGCCGUUUGAAGUUCUCAACAAGGUCUUUUCCAAAGCAAUUGCAGAGGGGGCCCCUGUGAAAGCGUCCCCCAGUACUAGAUGAUUGGGUAUUGCUGGAACCUUGAGAGAUUUGGCUUGUCCCUCGAAAAGGAACUUGCGACUUGAUUUGAUCUUGCCAAUGAGUUGCCAGAUGAUUUCAGUCUAAUUUGUCCUAAAGUUCACGAUUGAAUGAUCUGGACAAAUGCUCUUCCUGACUGCCUACGCCAUGUAAGAACUGCUGAGCCAGAAUCUGAAGUCAAAGGGAAUCACAUUCAUGGAUGAUCGGAAAUGGAAAGAUGCAGAACCAAAAGGCCCACUAAGCCCAGACGCCAGUGAGAAGGGGCGAAGGGCAAGAAGGCUUGCACAAUCCCAGAAACCCACGGUGCCCUAGCUUUGAAAGCCUCAGUGGAGGCAUAGCAAAAAGAAGGCACCUGCUUCCAUUGCCGGUAAAGACCGGCGGACAUGGCAAGACGAAAACGCCCAAAGUACCUGGCAAGAUUAACGCAAGAAUGAGAUAGAGACUGUCAACUUCAGUGUAUUUUGUUAUUAAUUCAUCUACUUCUGGCAUCCAUGGGUAUUAGAUACUGGAUGCGCGGUCUCACACUUGCAACAAAUGUGCAGGGGUGAAAGGGAGUUAGAGAUUUUGGCAAAAGCAGUGAAGUGACUACGAGUGCCANGUGUUCUCAUGAUUAAGUCACACUUAAUACAUUAAACGGACUAUCUAUUCCAGGGACUUUAUUAAUCAACCAUAAUAAAGAGAAUGCCUUUUAUUAUUCGAUACAAGUACCAAAAUGUAUUGGCCUCUAGGGCUUACACCAACAGUUUUCUCUUCUGUUUCUUCUUCUUUUCCUUCCUUUUCUAUACUUUUCUCAUUUAAGGAUGGGAGUUGAAAUACAUGCAAAAAUAAAUCGAACACUUGCGGAAUAAUCGGAAUAUAAAUGAAAGUGGUACAAUUUUUGAGUGUAAAUCAAGACAAAUAUACGAUGUAUUUUCACGUUAUCAGUUAUUCUAAGAAAUCUAAUCACAACCAAAUGGUUAAUGAUCAAUACAACAAACACAAGAUUCAAAAUGUAAUCAAAAUUAUGAUCCAAACUAUGUUAAUCCGGUGAUCAAAGCAAUCGACAUUUUGUGAGUCAAAAAAUAAAAGAGAUAGAGAGAAAGAGAGAGUACACAAGGAUUUAUUUAGGCAGUUCCCUAAUAGACCUCUCUAUGGGUACGUCUACCCUCAACUCGAAUUCGAAUUAAGAUAUUAAUAUAAUAAAUCUUACUAUGCAAAUGUAUGAAUACAAGAGGUGAGAAAUCAAAUCCCACAAACCCUAAGUUCUUUCUUGACUCUAGCACAUCCAAAAAUCUUGAUCAAAGAUUGAUUAAGUCACCAACAAUGCCGCUUCAAUUCACCUGUUGUUGGUACUUCCUUGCAUGACCUCCUUGUCUCAACGCUCUCACCUGGAUGAAUUAAUUCCAAGCCCACACUUGUUGAAACCAAUAUUUUUCAACAUGAUCUAUCAUUUCAAGCUACUCCCUUUUCAACACACCUAGUCUCAAGGCUUUCACUCGAUCGGAUACGAAUUGCAUAAUCUUGUCAAAAACCUUCAAACCCUAAAGAUUUUGAAGGAAAACUCCAAACCGGUUUUCUUAUUUGAAUCCCUCAAAGAUUGCAACCCAAUAUUCUCGGUACAACAAAUAUAAUUGGAUGUUAUCAAUCCUAAUUUAGAUGGCAACCAGUCAAAAAAUGAUUAUGUGUAGUUUGCUUGUUUGUAUGCAUAGAUUGAAUUGGAGAUGAUGAGAUGCUUUGAAAUUCUGGAUUCAUGUAGGUUUUACUUACCCUAGAAACCUUACUAGAGAAUGAUGCAUGUAUGGAGUAUUUAUAUACAUGAGUGAUUUAGGGAAAAAGGAAAUGAAAAGGAGGAUAGAAAAAUAUGAAUUUUUGAAGACAAAUAUCAGAUAGGUCAACUUAUACAAGUUAUGUGUCGACAUGUUCGUUGCAUAGGUCGACCAGUCCAAGGUCAUGUGUCGAUCUAUGAUAAUUAUGUGCUCCCUAUAUGUGAUCUAAAUACUCGACACAUAAAAUAGAGGCCACAUGCUUUAAUAUGGAAUCAUACGCGUCGACCUAUAGACUUCAUGUAUCGACUUAUAGCCAAGGAAAUGUUUCCAUAGGUCGACCUAUAGCCAGAAGAGUUUUUCAUAGGUAAGCCUAUAGCUCUAUGUGUCGACCUGUACUACUAUUUUUCAUAAAAAAUGAUUUUUCAUGCAUGUUUGAUGCAUGAGACCUUUCCCACAUUGUUUCCAAAUACUUUUAUGCUUCCUAAUGCUAAUAUGCACAUAGAGAUUCAGAAGAUACCAUUCAAUAUAUAUUUACGCUAAAGUAUCCUAGUUUUGACAUCAUACAAAAACACAUCUAACAUAAGUUGCACUCACAUACUCCCCCUUUUUAUGAUGGCAAAACUUGAGACGGUGCUAUGCGUUUGCAAUGAAAAGCUCCCCCUGAAUGUAUGCACCAUACAACUUCAUUCAUCUUCAUCUUACUUCUCCGCCUUUGACAACAUCAAAAAGAAAUGAAACAAUCCACGAGAAGAAUCUAAAAUCACACAUAAACGAAUAUAACACACAGAGGCGUUUUGUAAAGAUAAGAAAAUCAAUAUGAUAACACUCACAUAUAAUGAUUGGUAUAUUGAAAAGAAAUACUUAAACAUAAUUACAAGACAAUAAUGCAACAAUAGAACAAAUUGUCACAACUUAUGCCACAUAAUCACAAUACAAUCAUGAAAAAUGAAGGAUACAAAAUGAACACGAAAUACUUGACAUGCUACAAAAACGACAUUAUUACAUGAUAUACGCCUUUAGUGCUCCCGAAAUGCUUCACACGUAUGUUCUCUAGCAAGGCAAUAAACAAAGUACCAUCAUACAAACCAAAAACAUAGCUGAAAACAUAAUAAUGACACACAAUCAAGGAUAUUAUUAAUAAUGUAACAAGUUCAAUCAUAAAUCAUGAGAAAAAUAAAUAACAAACUGAUGCACCAAUUACUAUAUUUCAAGGAGAAUGAAGAUAGCACAACAUCACUAUAAGCAUAUGUAUUGACAUACAUCAAUUGCACAUGUUGGAAGUGAUCAUACGUGAACUAUCUUAUAUGUCAAGAACAUGAAUCAUAUGGACCAUAAACAACAUGCAAAAAGAGAAAGCUAACACAUAACAACGGAAAAUGAAAUAAUAGUACCUUGCUUGUGUAAUGAUGAGGAAUGCAUUCUUAUGAAGUAUGCUUGUCAAUAAAUGUUAGAUAGACAAGAAAUAUUCAAAGUACAUUAACAUAACAUUUAGGUAAGUGUUGAGAUGCCAAGAAUUCCUAAAUCAUGUCGAAUGUUAAAGAAGGGUUCUGACGCAAGUGGUUUUAUAAAAAUAGCGGCUAGUUGAUUUUUACUAUCAACAUGCUCAAAAACAACGUCGCCUUUUUCAACGUGAUCGCGUAGAAAGUGAUGACGAAUUUCAAUAUGCUUAGUAAGUGAAUGUAGCAUCGGGUUCUUAGUUAGGUUAAUGUCACUAGUGUUGUCGCAAAACAUUGGAAUAUGAUUUAGUUUUAUAUCAAAAUCAAGUAAUUGUUGUUUAAGCCACAAAAUUUGAGCACAACAACUACCGACCGCUACGUUUUCCGCCUCGGCAGUUGACAAAACAACUAAAACUUAUUUCUUGCUAUGCCAACUAACUAAGGAAUUUGAAAAUAUGUGAAAAGUCACACUAGUGUUUUUCCUAUCCGACUUGCAUUUGGAAAAAUCGGAAUCAGUGUUACCAACUAAGCUACAAUCACUCCCUUUGGAAUAUCGAAGCCCAUAAUUUGAAGUACCAUGAAGAUAACUAAAAAUACGUUUGACGACUUUGAUAUGAGAUUCCUUAGGGGCCGAUUGAUAUCGAGCACAAAUACAAACACUAAACAUGAUAUAUGGUCUAGAUGUAGUGAUAUAUAUAUAUAUAUAGAGAACCUACCAUACCUCUAUAUUUCUUCACUUCCACAUCCUUACCAUUUCCGUUUCUUUCCAAGUGUCCAUUCGUAGCCAUCGGAGUGUCAGUCGGCUUUGCAUCAACCAUGCUAAAUAUCUUUAGCAAGUCCUUGCAAUAAUGGUGUUCCAAAUAUCUUUCCACGACUACCUCUAUGGAUAAUGCCAUGUUGAAUGUCAUGCUUACAUUUUACUCAUAUUUCUCGUUUUUCCUCUAUUUUGCUUAGUUUCGUCGAGUAAGGCCUUUUCUAGGCCGUGUACCUAAAAACAAGGAAAAAUACCAGCAUAACAAUAGAAAUGAUAAUAAAAGGGUGGUAAAACAUGUGCAAUCCAAGUCAAAUAUGUAGUGUGUUUUGAUGUUAUCACUCUAUUAUACGCCCCUUUAGGUUCGAUAUUCAUUAUCUAAUAAGCAAAUCUUAAGACUGGAAAAAACCUGAAGCUCGUGAUACCACUUGUUAGAUGAUAGAUCUAGAUCUAAAGGGGGCGAAUAGAUCCCAAGUUAAAAAAUUAUUUAAACUUUGAUUUAGAAAUUUUUGGCGCGGAAGCAUGUUUCAAAUAUUUCAUGGAUUAGAAAUCGUCUAAUCGAACCUACUAUUGAAAAGCCUGAAUAUGCGUAGUAGUACCAAUAUAAUGAUAAUAAUCCACAAGUAAAUAAAAGAGAUAGAGAGAAAGAGAGAGUAUGCAAGGAUUUGUUUAGGCAGUUCCCCAAUCAACCUCGCUAUAGGUACGUCUGCCCUCAAUUCGAAUUCGAAUUGACAUAUUAAUAUAAUAAAUCUUACUUUGCAAAUGUUUGAAUACAAGAGGCGAGAAAUCAAAUCCCAUAAAUCCUAAGUUUAUUCUUGACUCUAAUACUUCCAAAAACCUUGAUCAAAGAUUUAUAAAGUCACCAACAAUGCCACUUCAAUUCACCUAUUGUUACUACCUCCUUGCACGACCUCCUUGUCUCAAGGAUUUCACCCAGCUGAAUUAAUCCCAAGCGCGCACUUGUUAAACCCAAGAUUUGUCAACACGAUCCACCAUUUCACGCUACUCCCUUGCCGACACACCUAGUCUCAAGGCUUUCAGUCGAUCGGAUCUGAAAUGCAUAAUCUUGUCAAAAACCUUCAAACCCUAAAGAUCUUAAAGGAAAACUCCAAACCAGUUUUCUUAUUUGAAUCCCUCAAAGAUCGCAACCCAAUAUUCUCGGUACAAUAAACCUAAUUGGACGUUAUCAAUCAUAAUCUAGAUGGCACCCAAUUAAAAAUUGACUAUGUGUAGUUUGAUUGUGUGUAUGGAUAGAUUGAAUUGAAGAUGAUGAGCUGCUUUAAAAUCCUAGAUUCAUAUAUGUUUUACUCACUCUAGAAACCUUACUAAAGAAUGAUCCAUGUAUGGAGUAUUUAUAUGCAUGAGUGAUUUAGGAAAAAAGGAAAUGAAAAGAAGGAUAGAAAAAUAUGAGUUUUUAAAGACAAAUAUCGGAUAGGUCGACCUAUACAUAUUAUGUGUCGACCUGUUCGAUGCAUAGGUAGACCUGUCCAAGGUCUUAUGUCCACCUAUGACAAUUAUAUGCUCCCUAUGUGUCGAUCUAAAGACCUGGCACAUAAAACAAAGGCCACAUGCUUUAAUACAACAAUAUACAUGUCAACCUAUAGAAUUCAUGUGUCGACCUAUAUCCAAGGAAAUAUUUCCAUAGGUCGUCCUGUAGUUCUAUGUGUCGACCUAUAUCCAAAAUGUUUUUUCAUAGGCCGACCUAUAAUUCUAUUUGUCAACCUGUACUACUAUUUUUCACAAAAGUUGAUUUUUCAUGCAUGUUUGAUGCAUAAGACCUUUCCCACAUUGUUUCCAAAUACUUUUUUGCUUCCUAAUGCUAAGAUGGACAUAGAGAUUCAGAGGAUAUCGUCUAAUAUACAUUUACGCUAAAGUAUCCUAGUUUUGAUAUCAUACAAAAACACAUCUAAUGGAAGUUGCAUUCACACAACAGAGUCGCCAUCAAACUUUAUUUAUUCUCGAAGGAAGCGAAAACAUCGAUAAAACCCAAGGGGAAGAGAAAAAAGGGUAAGGAAGUAGGUUAUGCAAGGGGAACUUAUUAACAUCCCUCACAUCCGUUGUACUCAACGAGAACCAUUUCAAUUGUUCUUUGCAAGAACGAGUGUUACGAUCUAAAGAUUACUCACGAAAGGAUAAUGGAAAGAUAAUAAUAAAUAAAUGUGCUCGACAAGGAUGCGAUCUCUUGUGCCUACGUAUUCUCAUCAUGCAAUAAGGAAAUCAGAGCUCCGUAGUUCAUGGUAGAAAAUACGGAUGCGUUAAUUGUUUUUAAUGAAUAGUUUUAACAUUCGCGUUCUACAAUCAACUUGCUUGUAUGAUCGAGCAUGGGAGACUUAAGAGUUUGUUUGUUUGCAAUAGAACAGACGCCCUUGGAUCAUACUCUAGCAAUUAAACAUUACUUUUAUGCUUAUGCAUGAAGGCUUAAGCUUCAUUCACGGUAGAACGAAAGUAACAUGUCCUUUCUGAAAAGGUUUUGAAAAGGAAAUGAUGCCUAAAGGAAAAAACGAGUUUGAUGAGUUGAGUUUGCUUUUAUUCUGAAAAGAAAGUCCUAAUUUGAAUUAUACAAAAGUCUAUGAAUGGAGGUGAGUACCAUGAGCAACUUGGUCAUUCGUCCUGUACCCAAAGAUAUCUAGAAUGAGGAUAUGAAUUCUCCCUCUCACCCCUUCUACAUUUCUUAAGGAUUGCAGCGUAUAAAUCUAAUUAUAUUUUUAAUUAUUUUUGAAUUUAUUCACAAAAAAUGGUUUUAGUCUUAGUGAAACAAAGAAAGAAAAAGGGAAAGAAAAUCCUAGAGGGUUGAGAGCUUGAUCUUCAGUAUGCAUGCAUCAUUUGUGUAGAAAGACUUAUCAGUUAUUCGAUUUAAAUUGCACUAAAGUCUAUAAAUAUAGGUGAAUACGAUGAGCAACUGGGCUAUUCGUCCCGUACCCAAAGAUAUUAAGAAUGAAGAUAGGAAUGGUCCCUUUCAUCCCUUCUCUACUACUUAAGGUUCAUGACGUGCAAUUUGCAUCAUAACUGUCGAGUGUUGAAGUUGAACCUUUGUAGUGCUUGAACAUAAAUCCAGUUUGUCUGCAAUGUCUAACUUGUAUUAAAUGGGAAGUCUUGAACUUGAUGAUAUCUUGAGAUCCAGUGCAUCAAGUAAAGGAAAAUUGUCCUAUCAAGUGUAGCACCUCAAAUUUUCCCCCCUCAUUCAUGCAUUCAUUUUUAGGUCAUUUAACAUUUCAUAUUGCAUUUCAUCAUGUCAAUCAGAAUUAGAUCCAAGAAGCUUGAAUAUCAUCCAAGACACUCUCAUUCAUGCAUUCAUUUUUAGGUCAUUUAACAUUUCAUAUUGCAUUUCAUCAUGUCAAUCAGAAUUAGAUCCAAGAAGCUUGAAUAUCAUCCAAGACACUUUGUGGGUUCUAUCUGGGUGAUCAGAAAACACAAGGGAAUGACUUGAGUUACUUCCAACAUGUUCAAAUUGGGUCUAUUCAUCAUUCAAAACGCUAAUCUUGAAGGAGCAAAAGUCUGUUCCUGAGCUGUCAUGCUCACUAGGCGAGCAAAUUCUUCGCUAGGCGAAGCGCACGCGUUUUAAAAAUAAAAAAUAUAUAUAACAGAAAAAUCUUGGACUUGGACCUCUCUCAUUUGAGCCCACCAAGCCACGAAAAUCAGGUUAUAAAUUCUAAAAAUUCAGUGGAAAAACCCUAGAAGAGCUAACAAAAUUCAGAGCAGCCUCCAUAGACACUGAAGAAAAAACUCCUUUGCACAGGAUCACCUCUACCAAUUCCAUCUCAUAUAAACCCUAAGAUUGUUUUGCAAACCCAACCGGGCAAUUCAAUUUCAUUCGAUCUCUCCAAUCAGGUUUGCCCUAUCUCCAUUACUUUAUGCUUUCAAUUUGAAAUUUCUGAAUGUAUGAGGCAUCAUGGGUGAAUUUGGAAGNUUUUUAUCCAUGUGGUAGAUCUCUUGAUCCCUUUAUCUUUCCCGCAUUUUACCGCUUUCUUAGCUGGAAGACCUCGAUAGGAGGCGAUGUUUUUUGUGUGUUUACUUUUGUGCCCAAAGACCUCCAAGAAGAGGCACCAGUGCUAAAGACCUUCACGAAGAGGCAAUUAAUGGAUAAAAGGGAUUAGUAGUCAAUCCCCCGUUAUUCAGUGUGUCGUUCUUUAUGCUCGCACUACGUGUCGAUGCUUCAGAACAACAGCCCAAGAUCUUUUGUCCGGUCAGUCAGUGGAGAGGGUUCCACCUUUAUGAAUCCCCACUUUUUGUUAUGAGCUCACCUUGUCCAGGGUUAAGAGCUAUGCGGUCUUAUCCUCAUUACCCUUUUGAUCUGCUCACCCUGACGUUCAGUGUCAGUGGUUAAGAGCCCGUUCGAUUACCCUUCCAUGGCUUGUUUGUCGAGGUUGAUAUGACCCCUCUUGACUAAAGCCUUACCCAUGUAUGUUUGAGCCCCCUUGUUGGCGUGUUUACUUUAUGCAUGUUUGUUUUGUAUGGUGUGAUCAUCUCCCCAUAGGAUUGCUAGGCUUCGUAUAGUCUCUCGUUUGCAUGUCAAUUAAGGUAGCACGGUUCCUUCGUCUAGGACUUCCUUUUUUGCAUGAGCAUUCCUAAAACACAAACAAACUCAUUGAUUUUUCUUCUCCUAAGAACACGUUAACUCCUUCUACUACAGGCGAGUAAGUCUCCAAAGGUCGAGCAUCCGGUAGAUUGCGUAGUGACGUCGUUCGUCCAAAACCCAAUCCAUAACCCCGUAGUUAGCCGAACUACGGCUUGCUCUGAUUCUCAUUCCAGAUGAGAUACGUAGGCAUAAGACGCGAUGUCUUAGCGAGCACACAAUCCCCCAACCCAUAGGUCAGCCGAGCUACGAAGACUCUGAUUCUCAUAUUCAGAUGAGAUACGUAUGCAGUGGAUGCGACAUCUGUGCGAGUCAUUUUCUUUUGACCCCUAUUUUAGUAAAUAGUACAUUAGAUAAACCCGCACCCUUUAGACAAGAACAACAAGAGUGGAUCCCGUAGAGUACUACGGAUGCGUAGGGGUGCUAAUACCUUCCCUUCGCAUAAUCGACUCCCGAACCCAAGAUUUGGUUGCGAGACCUUGUCUUUUCCUUUCCUUUUUCCAGGUUUACUUCGAGCGUUUCCUUUCCCUCCUUUGGGAUAAAUAACGCACGGUGGCGACUCUUCUGUCAUUUUCUUUCUUUUUUUGCCGGUUGUUUCGUUUCGCAUUUAGGUUGCGACAGCUGGCGACUCUGUUGGGUAACCGGUCUCCCUAAGCGAGUCCCUCAUAGCUUUUGUAGGUUUCUUGUUGGUUGGGUGUUUAUUUCUUUUGUACAGUUAUUUAUUUACCUGCUUUACCUUAUUGCAUUCAUGUAAAUAUGUCUGCUGUAUCUGGGGGUUCUGUUGGGUUGUUUGUUUGUUGGGGUGGGAUGUUCUAUGAGAUAAGCCCACUACCCAGGUUUGAGCGUACACACAGGUUUUAGAGUGGAUGGUCAUGAGGCUUGCGUGGCAUGUUGCUACGUUAAGUCGUUCAUGAGACCCACAUUCUAGACGAGGUUUCUGUUGGAUAUAUUUUGUCCUAUGGGUGUUCCAUAACGACAAAUAUUCCUUUAGAAAUCGUCGACUCUGGUGACCAUUUCCCGAGAACUCAAUCGAGGCCUCUCCUCUGAGACGCGUUUAUGUUAGCUCUGGUGGGCGCAUUAUCGCUGUUCAAUCCGAGGACCCCGAGACUGGGAACUUGCUUUAGGAUAUCCUGUUGAGGGGAGUCAGUGGAGGUCUUUUAUCCCGUAAUAAUGCCAAACCUUCAGUGGUAAACGUAUUAUUCUCGACUGAAGGGUAUCCGAGGACCCCGAGACUGGGAACUUGCUUUAGGAUAUCCUGUUGAGGGGAGUCAGUGGAGGUCUUUUAUCCCGUAAUAAUGCCAAACCUUCAGUGGUAAACGUAUUAUUCUCGACUGAAGGGCCGGAGUUGACGAACUUCUGUUCUUAGAACCUACUAGUGAGGGGCGAGCUAAAUUCAGGAAACCUUAACCUCCAACCAACCCAGUUUUCUGGAGCAGAGUUCUGAUCUUGUAUUAUAUUCCUCAGUGGGUUUCUCUUCAAACAAUGCAACCCAACAGUUGUUCAAGCAGAUACAACAAUCUUGAUUUCCAUGUCACUGCAUUGCAUCACAUCAUGUUGCAUUUAUAUCAUUUAAUACAUGUUUAUCUAUUUCUAGGGGGUUUACAUCUUCUUCUUGAUUUCGGUCGGGGUUCUCUGGUUUUUCCGAGAUGGACAUUGGCAGAAAGAGACACGUCGCCUACAAGUUUCCUUGGAGCCUAUUCAACAGCUGAUGAAGUUAAUGGAUCACGGUUCUCUAGAAGGAUUCCGGAAGGAUUAUGGUUUGAUUCUAAGUUUCGUUACGGUUCUCUCCAAAGAUCAUGUACUACGAGAGAAAACAUUGUUGCAGUUCUAUGACCCUCCAUUGAGGUGUUUCACGUUCCCAGAUUAUAUUUUGGUCCCUACUUUGGAGGAGGUUGCUAGUUUUCUUAGAGUUCCUAUCAAGCCGUAGUUGCUAUUCUACAGUUCCGAGUUUCUGCCUGAUCUCAACAUGGUUGCUUCAACCACAUAUUUGGGGAAAUCAAUCUUGAAGGCUAAUAUGUGUCAGAAGGGAGAAGUUAAUGGUUUUCAUCUGAGUUUCUUACUGGGAGAAGCAAAGAAGAAGCUUGAAGAUGGUGACUAGAGGGGUUUCAAUGAUGUGUUGGCUCUUUGUGUGUAUGGGAUUGUCCUGUUCCCUAAUGUGGCGAAAUUUUUGGACGUAGACGCCAUACGCCUCUUCAUGUUGGGAAAUCCGGUGCCGACCUUGUUGGGAGAUUUCUUUCAUUCAGUGCAUCACAGGAAUGAGAAUAAAAGGGGAGGAUUGGUGAAUUGUUGUGCGCCUUUGUUUUAUAAGUGGUUCAGUUCCCACCUACCCAAGUCAGGAGCGUUUGUUGAUGUCAAGAACUCGUUGAGUUGGUCAAAGAGACUGAUGGGGAUAAGAGCUAAAGAUAUUUCUUGGUGGUCAGACCGGAGCUUGCUUCGGGCAAAUAUUAUUCAUAGUUGUGGGAACUUACCGAAUGUACCAUUGGUAGGAAGAAGAGGAAGUAUCAACUACAAUCCUUCUCUGGCAGUCAGACAGUUUGGAUAUGCUUUAAGAGCUCCGCCUUUGGAAAAAUAUGUGGAAGAAUCUUUGUCUUUCCAUUCUUUAUCUGAUUUGACUGUAUCCCGUAAGGCAGCUGAGGCUUGGCUCAAGGUGAUCAAGAGAGGAAGAACUGUGCUUGGCAAAGGAGAUUGUAGAACUUACCCUCAGUAUGAAGAGUGGCUUCAAGGAAGAGUCAAAGAGUUUGGUCUGCCAUUUCCUAUUGAAGAACCUUUGUAUCCACCUACUCCUGAGCAGUCAACAAUGGUGAGCCGAGAGGAGUAUGACAAAUUGAAGAAUGCCAUGGAGGAGCUUCAAACUAAAAACUCGGAGUUAAGUGUGAUUUGAAGAACCUUUGUAUCCACCUACUCCUGAGCAGUCAACAAUGGUGAGCCGAGAGGAGUAUGACAAAUUGAAGAAUGCCAUGGAGGAGCUUCAAACUAAAAACUCGGAGUUAAGUGUGAAGCUGCAAGACUGUAUGCAUCAAUUCCAUGAGGCAAAAUAUCGAAGGGGGAAGCUAUCAGAUUGCAAGAGGAAGCAAAGAGGAAAUUAGUUGUGGAGGUGGACUUCUUCAGGAAGACAGACAAAGCCUUGGGAUCAUCCAGUUCUGAGUUGAGGGGAGUCAAGCAACAGUUAACAGAUGCCCAUGGUAAGUUAGCUGGGUGGCAAGAGCAAUGGGAUGCAUUUUCAGUUUCUAGGAAGGCAAAAGAGAAGGAGAUGGUAGCCCAACUGACUGUUCAGAUGGAGAAAUUGAAGAUUUUGGUGAAGGAGAAGAACAAUGAGCUUCUGUGCGCCCGUUCAACCAAUGGUUACAUCACAGACCAACUUGACAAAGCUCAAGAACAGAUUGAAGAACUCAAGGUGCUGGCAGGUUUGAAGAAGUCCAGACUUGAAGAGGUAUUCGGAGAAGACGAUGGGAAUUACUACAAAGAACACAUCAACGAACUCGAUGGGGUUAUUCACAAGAGGAAUCUGCUUAUCCGGAGUUUGACAGAAUCUCCAGAUCAUCCUGACAUAGUGGCACUACUGGCUGAAGUGAGGAGCAGUCCUUAUGGGUUGUAUGCAGGACGCUGAUUCCUGAUUUUUGUUCCUCUCUUUACUUAUCGUGUUGUUGCUUUGUAGUGAUGAUCCAUAGGCUUGUUGUGGAAAUCCUCUCUUGAUGUAUUGUUGGCUAAGGCCUUUCCCUUCUUGAACUCAUUUAUAUGAUGAUUUUCCUUAUUGCAUCUUGAUCUCAGAAGUUUAUCCACAACUUGGUCUUCUUGCGCUUUCUAUCUGAUGUGAGACUGGAAUCAAGGGGGUAGAAUACCCGUUGGAAUUGAUAAACAUGUCAUUGCAUUUACAUAUUCAUUUGCAUAUCUUGCAUAACAGGUACCGCUGCGGUGUUCUCAUAUUAUUUGGUGUUCCACUAGCAGGAUAGCUGAUUCAGGAAUUCACCGGUACGGUACCCGCAAAAACCACCAGAGAGCAAUGGAAAGCCUACAAGCAGAGCUCACCGAGAUGAGGAUCCGCAAGACCCAAUUCAUGGAUGUGGUUCAAGGGGUGGCUCAGGGACAGCAAGAGCUCAGGAAGAUGAUGCAGAGGAAUCCCGCCNNNNNNNNNNNNNNNNNNNNNNNNNNNNNNNNNNNNNNNNNNNNNNNNNNNNNNNNNNNNNNNNNNNNNNNNNNNNNNNNNNNNNNNNNNNNNNNNNNNNNNNNNNNNNNNNNNNNNNNNNNNNNNNNNNNNNNNNNNNNNNNNNNNNNNNNNNNNNNNNNNNNNNNNNNNNNNNNNNNNNNNNNNNNNNNNNNNNNNNNNNNNNNNNNNNNNNNNNNNNNNNNNNNNNNNNNNNNNNNNNNNNNNNNNNNNNNNNNNNNNNNNNNNNNNNNNNNNNNNNNNNNNNNNNNNNNNNNNNNNNNNNNNNNNNNNNNNNNNNNNNNNNNNNNNNNNNNNNNNNNNNNNNNNNNNNNNNNNNNNNNNNNNNNNNNNNNNNNNNNNNNNNNNNNNNNNNNNNNNNNNNNNNNNNNNNNNNNNNNNNNNNNNNNNNNNNNNNNNNNNNNNNNNNNNNNNNNNNNNNNNNNNNNNNNNNNNNNNNNNNNNNNNNNNNNNNNNNNNNNNNNNNNNNNNNNNNNNNNNNNNNNNNNNNNNNNNNNNNNNNNNNNNNNNNNNNNNNNNNNNNNNNNNNNNNNNNNNNNNNNNNNNNNNNNNNNNNNNNNNNNNNNNNNNNNNNNNNNNNNNNNNNNNNNNNNNNNNNNNNNNNNNNNNNNNNNNNNNNNNNNNNNNNNNNNNNNNNNNNNNNNNNNNNNNNNNNNNNNNNNNNNNNNNNNNNNNNNNNNNNNNNNNNNNNNNNNNNNNNNNNNNNNNNNNNNNNNNNNNNNNNNNNNNNNNNNNNNNNNNNNNNNNNNNNNNNNNNNNNNNNNNNNNNNNNNNNNNNNNNNNNNNNNNNNNNNNNNNNNNNNNNNNNNNNNNNNNNNNNNNNNNNNNNNNNNNNNNNNNNNNNNNNNNNNNNNNNNNNNNNNNNNNNNNNNNNNNNNNNNNNNNNNNNNNNNNNNNNNNNNNNNNNNNNNNNNNNNNNNNNNNNNNNNNNNNNNNNNNNNNNNNNNNNNNNNNNNNNNNNNNNNNNNNNNNNNNNNNNNNNNNNNNNNNNNUGGAAUGGUAUAUGAGGCUGGACAGAGCCCACAUCCGUUGCUGGAGGGAUUUGGCUGAGGCUUUCGUGAAGCAGUAUCAGUAUAAUGCAGACAUGGCUCCGGACAGAACUCAACUUCAGAAUCUGUCUCUUAAAAGCAAUGAGUGCUUCAGGGAAUACGCUCAACGCUGGAGGGAGACAGCUUCCCGUGUUCAACCUCCUAUGUUGGAGAAGGAAAUGGCUAACAUGUUCAUGAACACUCUGCCCGGACCUUACUUGGAGCGCCUGGUGGGUUGCAAUGCCUCCAACUUUGCUGAUGUAGUCUCUACCGGCGAGAGGGUGGAGAACUAUUUGAAGACAUGCAAGAUCCAGAGUGGAGGUGGAUCUUCAUCAGGGGUGAAGAAGCCGUUCAUUUAGGGACAAAAGAGGAGAGAAGGGGAUGCAAAUGCCAUAUCUUCUUAUCAGAACAGGGGUAACCGGAGGAAUAACUUUCAGAACUAUCAUCAACAACCGUAUGUUGCGGCUGUGACCAUUCCGGCUGUAGCACCACUACAACAACAACAACCACAACGUCAGCAAACUCAGUACCAACAACAACAACCGGGUAACAAACCCGCCUAUCAACAGAGGCAAAGGAUGAUGGACCGGCGUUUCGACACUCUUCCAAUGUCGUACGCUCAAUUGCUUUCUAGUCUUCAACAACUACAACUUGUGCAGUUACGCACUCUGGCUCCUCCUGUUGGUAGGCUUUCGGUGGGUUACGACGCCAACGCUAGGUGUAGCUUCCACUCUGGGGCACCUGGCCACAAUAUUGAGAACUGCAAAGCUUUUAAGCAUGUAGUUCAGGACCUCAUAGAUUCAAAGGCCAUCAACCUUGCACCGGCUCCUAAUGUCGUCAACAAUCCCAUGCCACAACAUGGUAGUGCGAAUGUUAAUAUGAUGGAAGGGGAAGCCAAAUCCGUCAAAGAUGUGUUGAAGCUGAAGACUCCGUUGUUGGAUAUCAAGGGCUACUUAUUGAAGGCCGAUUUUUUCCCUGGUUGUGGGAAGGGUUGUGUGGAUUGUGCUACUCAGAGUGGAGGUUGUUUGAAGCUGCAGCAGGGUAUCCAGGCCUUGCUCGGUGAAGGUACCCUCCAGGUUAAAGAUUUGUCUGUCCAAGAGUCUGUGGAAGGGGUUGAGGAAGAUGUGUUUGAAGAUGCUACUAAUGAAUUCACAGAUGUUGUUCCUACUGAUUCUGUAAUCCAUGAUGAUGUAUUUAAUUUUUCCAAUGUUGUUGCUGAUAUCCCAAACAAUAUGGUUGAUUCUGAUGUAAUUGAACUUGAUUCUGAUGUUUCGGAUGUUUAUGUUUCAAUGAAUGAGAUUUCAGAGUAUGACUAUGAUGUUGCUACUAUCACCAUUUUCUACCCAACUCAUCAGAUCAAUGUAUCAGAAGCGCAACCGGUGCCACCAGCGCGACUGUCCACUAUGAUUAUCACAACCCCUGGUCCUUUACCUUUCACCAGUGAAAGGGCCAUUCCUUGGGAUUAUGGGGGGAGUGUGUACACGCACGAUCAUGGGGUAGAACGAUCACUAAAGGUAGAAGAGGGUCAGAAGUCUGAACUUGAAGUUGAAGGUCCUGUAGUGGACAAUGUUGGUGGAAUCGGGCGAUUCACCAGGAGUGGUAGACUGUUCUCACCACCCGUUACCCAAACUGAUAGUGCUGAUGCUGCGGCGAAAGCCAAAGGCAAGCAAGUCGUGAAUGAGAGUGCCUCUACACCCCAGGCUGGUUCUGAGCCCACUUUUGCGAAGGAUGUGGACGAGCUCUUGAGGAUCAUAAAGAAAAGUGACUACAAGGUAGUCGAUCAGUUGAUUCAGACUCCGUCCAAGAUAUCCAUUCUCUCACUCCUAUUGUGUUCGGAGGCGCACAGGGAGGCACUGCUGAAAGUCCUAAAUGCUGCAUAUGUGCCUCAGGAGAUCUCAGUGAACCAACUGGAAGGAAUCGUUGCAAAUGUUCAUGCAAGCAACGGGUUAGGUUUUACUGAUUCUGACUUAACACCAGCUGGACGCAACCAUAACAAGGCUUUGCACAUCUCGAUGGAAUGCAAAGACACCGUGUUAUCUCAUGUUCUGGUGGAUACAGGUUCCUCUCUCAAUGUGCUACCCAAGAGAGCCCUGUCAAGGUUAGAAGUAGAGGGUUUGGUCCUGAAGCCUUCAGAUCUUAUUGUGAGAGCCUUUGAUGGUUCUAAGAGGUCGGUGUUCGGAGAGGUAGAAUUGCCAAUUCAGAUUGGAUCACAAACCUUCAACACCGUCUUCUAUGUGAUGGAUAUCAGUCCUUCCUAUAGUUGCCUGCUGGGUCGUCCUUGGAUCCACAAUGCUGGGGCAGUCUCUUCAACUUUACAUCAGAAGAUUAAAUUCCCAGUCAAUGGAAGGAUUAUCACCGUCUGUGGUGAGGAGGAUAUUUUGGUCAGUAACCUGUCUACAUUCAAGUAUGUAGAGGUAGAAGGUGAAUUUCAUGAGACCCUAUGUCAGGCCUUUGAGGCAGUUCAGAUCAAGGACGCAGCUCCGAUGGAAGAAGUUAAAGCGGGUGCCUCUAUCUCGUCCUUCAAGCAGGCACAGGCCUUGGUAGAUUCAGGCGUUGCCCCCGGUUGGGGACGUCUGUUGGAGUUACCAAUGAAAGAAGACAAGUUCGGGAUUGGGUAUCAGCCAGCUCUGACUUCUACAACUUCAACACUUCAGACUCGUCAGGGGCCGAUUACUUUCUCCAGCGCUGGCGUCAUCCAAUAUGGCCAGGUCUCUGCGGUCAACGAUGAAGAUGGGGAUAGUGAUUGCGACAUCGAUAACUGGGUGCGUCCGAGGAUCCCGGGUGAAGUCAUCAACAAUUGGUCUUCUGAGGAGAUUGUCCAAGUCACUUUUCUGGAGGAGUAAUAUUUCUUGUUUAUUCAUGCAUGUCUAAGUCUUACGUUCCGCCCAGGGCGUAAUGACUCAUUGUAGGGCUCAUCUAUGCGAAUACCUGCAUUUUUAUCAUAAAUAAAGGACGUCUUUUUGCAUUCAAAAUUUUGUUCACUGUUUUUCUAUUUUUGUAGUUUUAAAAAAAAAACAAAAAUGAAAAAAUAUCUGGCAAUGUUUUGUUUAGUUUUCACUUUGUUCACACUCAUAAGCACAUACCAUCACUCAUGCAGAUGCACAUCACCGGAUCCUAUUGAUAACGGUUCUGCUAUGGCUUGCUUCGACUUUGAAAAUCCGAUCUUUCAAACUGAAGAAGAGGGUGAUGAAGACUGUGAACUCCCUGAAGAACUUGCCAGGCUAUUAAAGCAAGAGGAAAGGGUCAUUCAACUGCAUCAAGAGUCUACUGAAGUGAUCAAUCUUGGCACCGAGGACGUCAAGAAAGAAAUCAAGAUAGGGGCUGCUUUGGAAGACGAUGUGAAGAAGGGGUUGAUUGAAUUGCUGCAAGAGUAUGUUGACAUCUUCGCCUGGUCUUAUCAGGAUAUGCCCGGGCUUGACACAGACAUCGUGGUACACCGUUUGCCUCUCAAAGAGGAUUGUCCUCCGGUCAAGCAGAAGCUCAGAAGAACAAGACCAGAGAUGGCCGUCAAGAUAAAGGAAGAAGUGCAAAAACAGUUGGAUGCAGGGUUUCUAGCAGUCACCAAUUAUCCGCCAUGGAUUGCAAACAUCGUUCCAGUACCUAAGAAGGAUGGAAAGGUACGGAUGUGUGUCGACUACUGGGAUCUGAACAGAGCUAGCCCUAAGGAUGAUUUCCCAUUACCUCACAUUGACGUUUUGGUGGAUAACACAGCUUAGUUCUCGAUAUUCUCCUUCAUGGAUGGCUUUUCUGGCUAUAAUCAAAUCAAGAUGGCACCAGAAGACAUGGAGAAGACAACAUUCAUAACCCCAUGGGGCACCUUCUGCUACAAGGUGAUGCCGUUUGGUCUGAAAAAUGCCGGGGCAACAUAUCAACGAGCGAUGGUGACUCUUUUCCAUGAUAUGAUUUAUCAUGAAAUCAAGGUUUAUGUUGACGAUAUGAUUUCCAAAUCUCAGACAGAAGAAGAACAUUUGGUGAAUCUGCAGAAACUGUUUGAGCGUUUGAGAAAAUUCAAGUUGAGGCUUAAUCCGAACAAGUGUACUUUCGGGGUGAGAUAUGGAAAACUGCUGGGUUUCAUUGUUAGCGGAAAAGGGAUUGAGGUGGAUCCUGACAAAGUGAAGGCUAUACAAGAAAUGCCUGAGCCAAGAACAGAAAAGCAAGUCCGCGGUUUCUUAGGGAGGUUGAACUACAUUGCAAGGUUCAUCUCUCACCUAACAGCCACGUGUGAGCCAAUUUUCAAAUUGCUAAGGAAAGACCAGGCUAUCAGGUGGAAUGACGAUUGUCAAAGGGCUUUCGAGAAGAUCAAAGAGUAUUUGCAGAAUCCCCCUAUCCUCAUGCCUCCAGUCCCAGGGAGACCGCUGAUUAUGUACUUGACAAUACUAGACAAUUCCAUGGGUUGUGUUCUCGGUCAGCACGAUGAGACAGGUAGGAAAGAGCAUGCCAUCUACUACCUAAGUACGAAAUUCACAGACUGCGAGUCGAGAUACUCAACGCUUGAAAAGACAUGUUGUGCACUUGCAUGGGCUGUUAAGCGAUUGAGAUAAUACAUGCUGACUCACACAACCUUAUUGAUCUCUAAGAUGGAUCCAGUCAAGUAUAUAUUCGAGAAGCUAGCUCUCACCGGAAGGGUUGCUCGUUGGCAAAUGGUACUGACAGAGUACGAUAUCCAGUAUACGUCCCAGAAAGCCAUCAAAGGGAGUAUUCUGUCAGACUAUCUUGCUCAGCAGCCGAUUGAUGAUUAUGAGCCAAUGAAGUUUGAUUUUCUGGAUGAAGACAUCAUGUUCCUCAAGAUGAAAGACUGUGAAGAGCCAGUUGUUGAGGAGGGACCUAAUCCAGAUGAAAAGUGGACUUUAAUGUUUGAUGGGGCCGUCAAUGUGAAGACAUCAUGUUCCUCAAGAUGAAAGACUGUGAAGAGCCAGUUGUUGAGGAGGGACCUAAUCCAGAUGAAAAGUGGACUUUAAUGUUUGAUGGGGCCGUCAAUGCCAAAGGAAGUGGAAUUGGUGUUGUCAUUACCACUCCGAAAGGUGCCCACAUGCCUUUCAUCGCUCGUCUGACUUUUGAAUGCACCAAUAAUGAAGCUGAGUAUGAAGCCUGUAUCUUGGGUAUCGAGCAAGCCAUUGAUUUGAGAAUCAAGACUUUGGACAUCUUCGGAGAUUCAACUCUAGUGAUCAAUCAAGUGAAUGGUGAUUGGAAUACUCUCCAGCCUAAUCUGGUCCCCUACAGAGAUUACACGAGAAGACUGUUGACUUUCUUCACAACAGCAAAGCUAUAUCAUAUACCUCGUGACGAGAACCAGAUGGCAGAUGCUCUUGCUACUCUAUCCUCCAUGAUCAAGGUGAUUCGGUGGAACCAUGUUCCCAGGAUUGAUGUUAUGCGCCUUGAUAGGGCCGCGUAUGUGUUUGCUGCUGAAGUGGUAGUUGAUGACAAGCCCUAGUAUCACGACAUCAAGUGCUUUCUGAAGAAUCAAGAGUAUCCUGCCGGGGCAUCCAACAAUGAUAGAAAGACUUUGAGAAGAUUGGCAGGCAGUUUCUUCUUGAACAAAGACGAUGUGCUGUAUAAGAGGAAGUUCGACAUGGUUUUGCUCAGAUGCGUGGAUAGACACGAAGCAGACAUGUUAAUGCAGGAAGUUCAUGAAGGCUCCUUCGGUAAUCAUGCCGGAAGACAUGCAAUGACUAAGAAGUUGUUAAGAGCAGGUUAUUACUGGAUGACCAUGGAAUCUGAUUGUUCCAAAUAUGCUUGGAAGUGUCAUAAAUGCCAAAUUUAUGCUGAUAAGGUACAUGUGCCGCCAAAUCCUUUGAAUGUGAUGUCUUCACCGCGGCUUUUUGCUAUGUGGGGCAUUGAUAUGAUUGGAAAGAUUGAGCCGACCGCCUCCAAUGGGCAUCGCUUCAUCCUUGUUGCCAUCGACUAUUUUACCAAGUGGGUCGAAGCAGCAUCAUUCGCGAAUGUCACCAGACAUGUGGUUGCCCGAUUCAUUAAGAAAGAAAUCAUUUGUCGUUAUGGGAUUCCCGAAAGAAUCAUUAUUGAUAAUGGUUCUAAUCUCAAUAACAAAAUGAUGAAGGCGUUGUGCCAGAACUUUAACAUUCAGCAUCACAAUUCUUCCCCUUAUCGCCCUAAGAUGAACGGCGCUGUUGAGGCAAUAAAUAAGAACAUAAAGAAGAUUGUGCAGAAGAUGGUCGUUACGUACAGAGAUUGGCAUGAGAUGCUACCCUUCGCCUUGCAUGGGUACCGUACUUCAGUACGUACAUCGACCGGGGCAACCCCUUACUCCCUUGUGUAUGGUAUGGAAGCAGUCCUACCUGUUGAAGUGGAGAUUCCUUCUCUAAGAGUCCUGUUGGAUGUCAAGUUAGACGAAGCUGAAUGGAUUCAGACAAGGUUCAAUGAGUUGAGUCUUAUCGAAGAGAAGCGAAUGGAAGCCAUUGUCAUGGGCAAUUGUAUCAGAGUCGGAUGAAGAGAGCCUUUGAUCGGAGAGUGCGUCCUCGAUGUUUCCAAGUUGGAGAUUUAGUGUUGAAAAGGAUCCUUCCUCCUCAAAUAGAUCACAGGGGCAAGUGGACUCCUAACUAUGAUGGACCAUACAUUAUCACCAAGAUUUUUGAUGGUGGGGCCUUAAUGCUUGCAACUAUGGAUGGUGAAAACUUCACUUCCCCUGUGAACUCAGACGCAGUUAAAAAACACUUCGCAUAAAAUAGACCCGCUGGACAAUAAAAAGAAUAGUCCAGGCAAAAAAUGGGCAUCCCGACGAACCAAGAAAAUGAAAAGGUUCGGGCAAAAAUUAGGGAUUAAAAAUGAAAAGAUUGUACACCCGGUAAGUUGAAAACCUGAAAGGGCAACUUAGGCAAAAAUGGGUAUCCCGGUGGAUUGAAAACCCGAAAGGGCGAUCCAGGCAAAAGUUAGGGAUUAAGCGAAUGANNNNNNNNNNNNNNNNNNNNNNNNNNNNNNNNNNNNNNNNNNNNNNNNNNNNNNNNNNNNNNNNNNNNNNNNNNNNNNNNNNNNNNNNNNNNNNNNNNNNNNNNNNNNNNNNNNNNNNNNNNNNNNNNNNNNNNNNNNNNNNNNNNNNNNNNNNNNNNNNNNNNNNNNNNNNNNNNNNNNNNNNNNNNNNNNNNNNNNNNNNNNNNNNNNNNNNNNNNNNNNNNNNNNNNNNNNNNNNNNNNNNNNNNNNNNNNNNNNNNNNNNNNNNNNNNNNNNNNNNNNNNNNNNNNNNNNNNNNNNNNNNNNNNNNNNNNNNNNNNNNNNNNNNNNNNNNNNNNNNNNNNNNNNNNNNNNNNNNNNNNNNNNNNNNNNNNNNNNNNNNNNNNNNNNNNNNNNNNNNNNNNNNNNNNNNNNNNNNNNNNNNNNNNNNNNNNNNNNNNNNNNNNNNNNNNNNNNNNNNNNNNNNNNNNNNNNNNNNNNNNNNNNNNNNNNNNNNNNNNNNNNNNNNNNNNNNNNNNNNNNNNNNNNNNNNNNNNNNNNNNNNNNNNNNNNNNNNNNNNNNNNNNNNNNNNNNNNNNNNNNNNNNNNNNNNNNNNNNNNNNNNNNNNNNNNNNNNNNNNNNNNNNNNNNNNNNNNNNNNNNNNNNNNNNNNNNNNNNNNNNNNNNNNNNNNNNNNNNNNNNNNNNNNNNNNNNNNNNNNNNNNNNNNNNNNNNNNNNNNNNNNNNNNNNNNNNNNNNNNNNNNNNNNNNNNNNNNNNNNNNNNNNNNNNNNNNNNNNNNNNNNNNNNNNNNNNNNNNNNNNNNNNNNNNNNNNNNNNNNNNNNNNNNNNNNNNNNNNNNNNNNNNNNNNNNNNNNNNNNNNNNNNNNNNNNNNNNNNNNNNNNNNNNNNNNNNNNNNNNNNNNNNNNNNNNNNNNNNNNNNNNNNNNNNNNNNNNNNNNNNNNNNNNNNNNNNNNNNNNNNNNNNNNNNNNNNNNNNNNNNNNNNNNNNNNNNNNNNNNNNNNNNNNNNNNNNNNNNNNNNNNNNNNNNNNNNNNNNNNNNNNNNNNNNNNNNNNNNNNNNNNNNNNNNNNNNNNNNNNNNNNNNNNNNNNNNNNNNNNNNNNNNNNNNNNNNNNNNNNNNNNNNNNUUUAUUUUUUUAUUUUAUCUGCAGAGCUGGUCGAGCGUUGGCGUUCUUCAAUCCCGAGGCUCUCACUGCGACUUCCCCAAGUUUUGUUUCAGUGAUUAUACAUUCACCAGCGGAUUGACAGUGUGAGAUAUAUAUUCCUAGCGAGUGACAGGUGCCAGACUGUAUUUCCCAGCAGAAGCGCCCUGCUCCGUCAGAGUUCGAUGCCAGGUCGAUGAUCUCGACGCCAGUCCACAGUCUCUUUCUUGAAGGCGAAUCCGGUACCGUAUCGGUGUUUGCUUCCCCUGCUGGAGUCAGUCUCUCUCGCCGAUUAUGUUUCCAGAACCACUGUCGCUUUCCUCAACAACAAGUUUUCAGUGUCGUUCUCUCCUCCAGCAGAGCCUCGGUAUUUUUGUAUUUGCCAGAACACCGUGUGGCGGGUAUUCCCCACAGAGUUCUUUGUGCUGUACAUCCUCCAACACCUGGCCUAGGGUCUAGGAAGAUGCGUGAUCAUUUCCCCGCCAGAUUUCCUUUGCCUCAGCUUUGGCUUCUCUCUAAUCAAGCAUUUCGACAUCCCUGCAUGUAGAUCAUUUGCAUUGCCAUCCUCUAAAUUGCGUAGCAUUUUCAUUUCAUGGAGUAUUACGCCAUUGAAAUUUCAAACUAUCGCCAUGUAAAGCAUAAGGCGAUUUCGGUUAUCCCAAGUGAUAAGCCAGAAUUAUUUCAGUAUCAGACUGAAGAUUUGUUCUGACUUUCUUUAUUUUCCCCCCAGCAGGGGCGUGGCCCACGCGCCGCCUCAAUUAUCAUUUUCCCUAUUUCUGCCGAUGCUGACAGGCAUGAAUUUUCUGGUAUUUAGGCUAAUUUCCGAUGUUCCAGGAUCGAAGAAGUUUCCGACGUUCAAGGUCGAUGCAACUUGUGGCCUUCAGACCGAAGUGAAGUUCGGCAAUUUUCGAUGUCAGAUCGAAGAGUUUUCGACGUUCAGGUCAACGCCAACUUGUGGCAUUAGGCCAGGCGUUUCGCCGUAUUCAGACCGAAGUGGCAUUCAUGCCAAUUUUCCGAUGUUCAGAUCGAAGAAGUUUCCGACGUUCAGGUCGACGCACUUGUGGCAUUCAGUGCAGUUUUCGGGUACGCAGACCGAAGUGGCUUCAGGGCCAGUCUCUCGGUGUUCAGACGAUAUUAAUAAUCUCAUUAUCUUCCGGUGCUUAUAUCGAAGUCAUUCCAGUAUUCAGCUGGAUGAGCGGAAUUCAGGCCAUGGUUUAUUUCUGUGCUUACCAUUAUAUUUUGGUAUCCAGGCUUAACAUUCUUUUUCGAUAUUCAGACCGACUUCGCACCGUACAGCAGAUUCUUCUUUCAGACACCUCAUUUGCCGAUUCUGACAGGCAAUUGUUACUUCACUUCACUUCAGUGUAAAUUUUCAGGCUUUUAUUGUAUUCAAUCCCUUGAUACCUCGAAAGUGCGAAAGCCGCUGCUAUCUUCUUUUCGGGUCUCCAGUUGAUUGAAUAGGGGCAGUUGUAGCACCUCAAAUUUUCCCCCCUCAUUCAUGCAUUCAUUUUUAGGUCAUUUAACAUUUCAUAUUGCAUUUUAUCAUGUCAAUCAGAAUUAGAUCCAAGAAGCUUGAAUAUCAUCCAAGACACUUUGUGGGUUCUAUCUAGGUGAUCAGUCAACACAAGGGAAUGACUUGAGUUACUUCCAACAUGUUCAAAUGGGGUCUAUUCAUCAUUCAAAACGCUAAUCUUGAAGGAGCAAAAGUCUGUUCCUGAGUUGUCAUGCUCGCUAGGCGAGCAAAUUCUUCGUUAGGUGAAGCGCACGCGUUUUAAAAAUAAAAAAAUAUAUAACAGAAAAAUCUUGGACUUGGACCUCUCUCAUUUGAGCCCACCAAGCCACGAAAAUCAAGUUAUAAAUUCUAAAAAUUCAGUGGGAAAAUCCUAGAAGAGCUAACAGAAUUCAGAGCAGCCUCCAUAGACACUGAAGAAAAAACUCCUUUGCACAGGAUCACCUCUACCAAUUCCAUCUCAUAUAAACCCUAAGAUUGUUUUGCAAACCCAACCGGGCAAUUCAAUUUCAUUCGAUCUCUCCAAUCAGGUUUACCCUAUCUCCAUUACUUUAUGCUUUCAAUUUGAAAUUUCUGAAUGUAUGAGGCAUCAUGGGUGAAUUUGGAAGAGUGGGUAUCGUUAGGUUUCACAUGUGGGUUUAGAUAUGCAUGAAUGUGUAGAAUUUUCAAUUUGAAAUUUCUGAAUGUAUGAGGCAUCAUGGGUGAAUUUGGAAGAGUGGGUAUCGUUAGGUUUCACAUGUGGGUUUAGAUAUGCAUGAAUGUGUAGAACAAUGCCUUGAAUGUUUGAUCAGUUAAUUUCUGAAAUGGGUACCACGGGGUUUGGGGUUACUGAAAUCGGACUAUUAUCGAGGAAGAACCCAAAAUCCGCAGGCAUUCGCUAGGCGAAUCUGCAGCGAAGCUUCGCUAAGCCUUCGCUAAGCGAAGCAGUAGAGAUCGUGAAAGUAGUUGUUUUUUCUGUUUACUCUCUAAUCCGUCUUGUGUUUGUUGGUUUUUCUGUUUCUAUUGCAUCCGUGCACUGUUUACCUGACGCUGUUGUGGUUAUGGUCCUUCUGUUUGGUGCAACUCUUGAUUGCACCACAUCUUGUUAUUCUAACUUGUUUGUUGAGUUUUUGUGAGGGCUCACAUGACUCUUGAAGAGAUAGCUUGCUUGGUAUUCCACUUUAUUUAUGGGAUACCAUUUGGAGAUUUAUUCUGAUUACUUUGUUGACUUGCUUUCUUUGAUGGUGCUAGCUUGAGAGAUCAUCGGGUUUCUUGCUUCUUUAGUUGUUAUUACUUCGGAUUUUUAUCCGUGUGGUAGAUCUCUUGAUCCCUUUAUCUUUCCCGUAUUUUACCGCUUUCUUAGCUGGAAGACCUCGAUAGGAGGCGAUGUUUUGUGUGUGUUUACUUUUGUGCCCAAAGACCUCCAAGAAGAGGCACCAGUGCUAAAGACCUCCACGAAGAGGCAAUUGACGGAUAAAAGGGAUUAGUAGUCAAUCCCCCGUUAUUUAGUGUGUCGUUCUUUAUGCUCGCACUACGUGUCGAUGCUUCAGAAUAAAAGCCCAAGAUAUUUUGUCCGGUCAGUCAGUGGAGAGGGUUCCACCUUUCUGAAUCCCCACUUUUUGUCAUGAGCUCACCCUGUCCAGGGUUAAGAGCUAUGAGGUCUUAUCCUCAUUACCGUUUGAAUCUGACUCUCCUGACGUCCAGGUCAGUGGUUAAGAGCCCGUUUGAUACCCUUCAUGGCUUCUGUUUUUUGUCGAGGUUGAUUGACCCUCUUGAAAUAAAGCCCUACCCAUGUAGUUUGAGCCCUUGUUGGCGUGUUUACUUUAAUGCAUGUUUUUUGUUAAUGGUGUGAUCGUCUCCCAUAGGAUUGCUAGGCUUCGUAUAGUCUUCGUUUGCAUGUCAAUUAAGUAGCAGGUUCCUUCGUCUAGGACUUCCUUUUUUGCAUGAGCAUUCCUAAACACAAACAAACUCAUUGAAUUUUUCUUCUCCUAAGAACACGUUAAUUCCUUCUACUACAGGCGAGUAAGUCUCAAAGGUCUAGCAUCCGGUAGAUGGAGUAACGUCGUCCUAAAAAACAACAAAACAAACAAAUAGGUCAGUGGCUCGAAGAUUCUGAUUCUCAUAUUCAGUGAGAUGAUACGUAUGGAGUGGAUGCGACAUCCGUGCCGCAGUCAUUUUCUUUUGGCCCUCUUUUAGUAAUAGUUACAUUAGAUAAACCCCACCUUUAGGACUAAGAACAACAAGAGUGGGAUCCGUAGAGCUUACGGAUGCGUAGGGUGCUAUACCUUCCCUUCGCUAAUCGACUCCCGAACCAAGAUUUUGGUUGUGAGACCUUGUCUUUCCUUUCCUUUUUCCAGGUUUACUUCGAGCGUUUCCUUUCCCUCCUUUGGGAUAAAUAACGCACGGUGGCGACUCUUCUGUCAUUUUCUUUCUUUUUUUGCCGGUUGUUUCGUUUCGCAUUUAGGUUACGACAUCAAGUGAUCAAGAGACUUUUGAUCACUUGAAUAGACAGAGGAAGUGAGCACUAUCAAAGGAUUUAAUUUAUCAAAGAAAACAUUGAUCAACUGAAUAAAUCAGGGAGAAAAUAGUUGAAAGUUCAUGUACACAUAGAUAAGGAUUAACAAAACAUUAGGGGUUAAAUCCUAAGCACCUAAGUCUAAGGGAUCAUGCCAAUGGUUAAGGUACAAUUUAAUCAGAGAAAUCAACAAGGUUCUAAGAAGAAAACAAUUGAUUAAAUUAUCAAUUAAACCUAAAUGAACAAAAUUAAUUAUAAUCAAUUAAAUCUCUAAAUCAAGAAUUCUAAUUCUAAAGCAUGAAAGAAUUAAAAAUUAAAUCACAUCGAGUAAUCAACAUUUAUCAUGUACAAUUACAAUCUAAACCUAAUCAUGUAAAGUAGGUUGAAUCACAUAUUUUCUAAUAAUUUUAUCAAUAAUUAAGAAUUAAUCCACACAAUUAAUUCUAACUAAGUCAAUUAAUCAUGUUAAAAAAGCUAAUUAAAACUAACAAUUAAUCUCUAUCAAUUCAUGAACAAUUAUUAAAGAAUAGCAAAAAAAAACAAAAGGAACAAAAAUUGAAAUAAAAUGCCAAAAGAAAUGCACAAACAGAGGGUAUGCGAUAGAAAAAUAGGGUGCAACUAACAAUGGCCCAUACCAAGGCCCAAAAUCAAACAAGUUAAGGAAUAGGGGGUGCCAUGGCUGGGGGAGGUACGGGAAAUGCAUUUGUUGGGCCAAAAAGCCCAAAGUUCAGACAAGGCAGUGCUGAAGGUGAGUGAAUGAAGUGGAAGAAUGGAAUAGUGACUCAUCAAGGCCAUGUGCGACACAAAUCAUAUUAAACACAUUAUUCACAUGUUAAAAAAAAUCAGAGUUAAAGUUCAAACAUGGUAAUUUCCCUCCUCCGAGCCCAGUUUCUUCUCCGUCGCGAUGGAGGUCGCCUCUGGCGGCUGAGGAGCCUCAAUGCUACAACACUCAUAUCAUUUUCCUCAAUUCUUUGCCCUGAAUCAAAAAAUCAAUAUGACAAGACCUAAAUAUGUUAGAGCAAGAUUUAGUUCUACAUCUAUACCUUGAGUUUUGAUGAUAACAAUGUUGUAUUUAUGUGAGAACAAUUUUGGUACCCUAAUGGUUCGUUAUUGUGUAGCUUUAACAACCAUUUUAGAUUCUGAGUAUAUGACGUGCAACACUAUCAAUUUAUGAAUAAUGAGUUCCAAAUCCGCUUCUACACCAGUCAUAAGAAUUUUUGAAAGAUGAUCAAUAUUGCUGCUGUAAUGAUCUUUCUGCUUCUGUGCAGGUUCACUCCUGAGAAGGUUCUGAGUAGACACUAUGUUACUGUUGCAACGUUCUCUCAGCAUGUGCUUCUGGACAUGACUCUAAUCACUAAAAUUCUGAAGAAUAGAAAGCUUCUAAAGUUAUGUUACUUAGCUAAAUAUUCCUAAGAUCUCAAGCCAGACGAUUGAGGUUAUCAAGGUUUUGACUGUAGAUUCUGAAGACUCCGAAGAUUCUGAAGAUACUGAAGAUCUUAAGCCACAUUACUGAUGCUGUCAAGGUUCUGACAAAAGAUUCUGAAGUUUCUGAAUCCAUCUUUAUGUUUCUUCAUUUCAUGCUUCAUCAAGUUUCAUAAGAAGCCAAUGAAAUUGAAGAUAAGAUCAAUUGGAUACAUGAUCAAAUAGUACAUUGUACAAAUCAAAUAUCCUUUCCACUACCUGAUUUCAUGGGCAAGGACAAUACUAUACAUCACACAUGUAACUGAUUUUAUGGGCAAAGGACAAUACACAAUAUCACUCAUUUCACCAUCCAACAGUGGAAAUCCGCUCUAUGAGCUUUCCCCAUUUUGCCCACCAACAUUUGUCUUCUUAUGCUAUAUAAGUAAGACUUGGAGACUUGAAGAAAAGAAGAACGCUAAAUGUUGAUGGUGCUACAACAAACUUGACAAGUCUUUUUCUUUAUGAAAAUAUAUCAAUUUUUAUACACAGUUUUCUUUAAGUAUUUGUUUAUCAUUUGUGUAAAAUCUUCUUUUAUAGAAGCAACUUGAAACACACAAUCUUAUUCAAACUGUUUGUUUGAUUCCUUAAGGAGACUAGGGUAUAGUCGGAUCCUUGAUAAGACAAAUAAAGUUAUUCUUUGUGAGUCCUUAAGGAGAAUAGGGUAUAGUUGGAUCCCUGAGAAGACAAAGAAGAUUAUUCUUUGUGAUUAUUAUAAUCUGUUGAUUAUAGUGGAUUAAGUCCUUGUGAAUAAGGCAAAUCACCUUGGCGGAUGGACUGGAGUAGCUUUUAGUUUCAAGCAAACCAGGAUAAAAAUACUUGUGUUUUUAUCUCUUUGUUAUUAACUUUUAAGUGGUGUUCUUGAGUUGGUAAAAAUAUUUUGUUUUGUAAAACACAAUUCAAACUCUCAUUUCUUGUGUUUCUCACACCUUCAAAAUCUUCAUGAAUGGCCUGAGUUGAAGCACACAACUGAAGAAACCUAGAACCAAAUAUGCGAAAUUAAAUUCUCUCUCCCCCAGAAUCAAAACCGUAGAGGUCAGGGCUUUGAUUCCCCUAACGUCUCUCUAUAUGCCAGUAACUCCUAUGCAAUAAAUCGAUGAAGAUGAUGGAAAACUCACCGAAGCAGCGCCAAAAUCAGGUACGAAAUCUCGAAUCUUAUUUCUCCUAUCUUUCUUCUUUCUUCUUCUCUUCUUCUUCUUCUCAAAUCUUCUUUUGGAAAUUCUAUGAGAUCGGAUUAUGGACUAGAGAGAGAUAGAGAGUGCUUGAACCAUGAAGAGUGAAUCUUGAAAACUCUGAAAAUGGUGAAUUGAUUGUAACUAAAUCGUGAAAUGAGUGAAUCAUGUACUUAUAGUGGAGGAUUAAUAGAGUUGAUCUAACUCUGUAAGAUGAGUGAAGUCUGAGUUUGUUGGAAGUUAGAUCACAAAGUUAGUUGUUAGUUAUAUCUAGUUAGUUAGUUAAUUAGUUUGAGUAGAAUGAAUCAGUUAAUUGCAGUUAAAUGGUGAUUUAAACUUGUUUAGUAAAGUGAAUGAAACUCGAGUUAAUCUUUAAUUGCGCUAGUAACUUCUAUUAAAUGGAUGAGUUAAACGAAAGUGUUAGGUUGCAGUUAGUUUAAUAUGAGUAUUAUUGAAUGUGAUGUUGAUAUUUCUGUUAAACAUAAUAUUCAGUGAAAUGUUAGUUGUCAAUGUUAAGUUGCAGCUAAAUCCUUGAUAAAUGUUAUGUUAAAUGGAGUUUCAAAUUUUGUUGUUAAAUGACACUAAGUGAAAAUGUCAGUUGGAGUUAAUAUGUUAAGAUGAAUUCAAUGUUUACUUGUGUUAUAUGAAAAGCUUAACUCGAAUUUGAAUGAAGAGUUACUUGGACUGCUUGUCGAUUGUUGCAGGGUGCCUUCUAGGUUAAUGAUGGUUUAGCUUUGAUGUGCUCACUUGCUGUAGGAGGUUUGAAGGUAUGGGUUGUUGCAGGCUUUUGUUACAGGAUGGAUGUUUGACUUGUAAGGUUUGUUAAAGGAUUGCUGAUUGAUGCAUGAUAGAUGUUUGGCUGCUAAGUUAAUGAAAUGGUUGCAGGCUGAAGUUGGAUUGGUGAUGUUUGGCUUGUAGGGUUUGUUGAAUGUUGUGCUCCUGAUGUGGAAUUGGUCUAGUUGUUCACUCUUGGUGCAUGUUUAUCGCAUGUUGUGGCUUCUAGUUGCAAUGCUUUUAUGGUUGCGAUGUUUGGAAAUAUGGACUGCUCAUGUGUGUGCCUUGUUUGAAAUGCUCAAGUUGGUUUGAAAUGGUUUACAUUAGUUUGUUGUAUUGGUUUUGGUUUUGAUAUGGUAAUGAUGAACAUGUGUUUAGUCAUGACAUUGCCUUAUGUGAUAUUUUUUUGGAUUUUGGUGUUUUGUAGGUGAUGGAUAAAUGCCAAGAUGAUCUUAACUUGAAGACCAAGGAACUAUGACCUAGGGAUCGUAGAAUUAUAAGUUGACUUUGGUCAAUUGGUUGACGAAAAAGUCAACAGUUGGCCAAAACUUAACUUAUGCAAAAAUGAUGUAAUUUUGUAAUCUUUUUUCAAUGAAUGUAUUUUGGACAAUGUACUAAAUGGGUCUUGUAAAUGCAAUGUAAUUUCCUUUGUUAAAAAUGAAUGUUCUAAUGAUACAAUGAACCUCUUCAAUUCAAUUGACCAUUUCCCUAAUUCAAUGCAACCAAUUGAGAAGAAAUGCUUUGAAUGAUUGAAUGGCAUUGAAAUCAAAUGACCAUGAAAUGAUUUACCCAAAUAGACAAUGAAAUUUUAACCAAAUGAUGAUGACCAAGAAAAUAAAUGGAUAGAGUGUAACUCAGAUCAAAUGGUACCAAUGAGAAUAUGCAAUGAAAUAUGAAUGUAGCCAUGCCUUAGACCUAUCAAAGCAAGCCAUGGACUAGGGUUUAGCUAGGUCAAAGCUCAAAGUCAAGAAACAACCAAAGGCCUAAAUCAAAAGCAAUCCACAUAAGCAAUGCACCAAUGCUCUGAGCCACACUAGGGUUUUCAUACCCCUCAAAGAAAACCGCAAGGUUCACUAACCUCAAGAUCAAUGAUUAGGGAUUGGUAUGGAAUAAACACCAAGAUGCAUCCUCCAAGGCCUCAAGCACCUAUCAACUAGGGUUUUGCCUUAAUCACCAUGAUAGGCUCUUCUCAAUGAUUGUAGCAUCACACCCUCUAGGGAUUGAUCCUCAAGCAAACCCUAGCUCCUUGUUAAGUACAAUCAGCCUUAAACCUUUGAAUCUAUGAUGAGAUUGGUACACUAGAUGAUAUGGAUGUUCAUGAAUGCAAAUGUAUCUUAAACCAAAAGGUUAGAUGAAAAUGAAAAGGGAGAAUAAUUUUGGGGUAUGACACCGACUAUCCCCUCGUGUAAUUCUAAAAGGGCGUAAGUGACUUCCUCCUUCCUUAGGAACUUCAACAAUGGUGUAGGUAAGCCUAUUUUAUAUAAAGCUCAUCCUAUCAUGGUAUACUCACCAGCCAUUCUCUUUGCCAGGGCAUCUUUGGAUGGGUCCGAUAGUAGACUUCCUAUCUCGAUAUACUCAUGUAUUAGAGACAUUCAGGAUGGAAAGGCAGUGCAUUCUAUGGCUGACAUUAUUUCCCUCAGGACUUCAAUGCUUGGGGUUUUUCUAGUCCCAUGAAUGAAACAAUGAUUAAUCUCAAGAUUCCUCGUGUUGGCUAAUUGGAAUUACACAUCAACAUGAGUGAUUUCUUCUAGUGGAACAUGAGCAGUUUUGGAUUCUUUGAAUCUUUCCAAAUGUUUGGUAGCUAGAUUGAGGUAUCGUUGCAAUAACAUGUAUUUAUAUUAGGCAACCCUUCUUAUCUGAGAGAUGACUAGCUGGGAGUCUGUUCUUAGCUUAAUAUGGUCUACCCCAUAUCUUCAGAUAAGGUCAUUCCUGCAAUCACCACUUCAUACUCCACUUAAUUAUUGGUGGUUGAUAACUCGAAUCUCAAGGAUACUUCUACUACGAGCCCAUCAUUAUUCUCUAGGAUCAUACUGGCACUGCUUCCUCAAGUGUUAGAUUACCCGUUCAUUAACAUUACCCUCGAGCAAUCUUGCUUUGGAGGUAUGAAGGUAAUUUUAGCCAAGAAGUCAAUAAACAAGUAAGCCUUUAGAAUUUUCCUUGCUUUAAAAGAUACCUCAAACUUCGACAACUCAAUGGCCCACUUUGUAAGAUUCCUGGCCAAAUCCAGUCAAUAAUGCACCAAUUUCAAGGGAACGUUAGUCCGAAUGAUUAUGGAAUGUGUGAGGAAAUACCUUCUGAGAUUGUGUGAUUCUGUCACCAAUGCCAAGGAUGCUUUCUCAAUAUUCUGGUAUUGUGCUUUUGUUUCAGUCAAUGCCUCCGAUAUGAAGUACACAUGGCUUUGGUUGGAGUUAGGAUUUCUAAUUAGGACGAAGUUCACUGCCUGCUCUAUGAUAGCUAGGUACAGAUACCAUGUUUCUCCAAAGAGCGAUCGAGUGAGCAUUGGUGGCGUGGCUAGAUUUUAAUUCAAUGACUCAAAUGCCUCUUCACUAUUGGGACUCCAUUCAAAUUUCACCUCCUUCUUCAACAACUUAUAAAAAGGUAAUGCAUGUUAGGCGUAUUUUUAAAUGAACCUGUUCAAAGCUAUCAACAAGCCAUUCAACUUCUGGACCUCUUUCUUUAAGGCUAUACCGCUCAUUUAGACCAAUGUUUCACACUUGUCGGGGUUUGCUUUGAUUCCUCGCUCAGUUAGGUGGAAUCCCAAGAGAUUUCUAGCUCUUAUCUUGAAUGUGCACUUUUUUGGAUUGAGACUCGUGUUAUAAUGGCGAGCCCUCUUAAAUACCCGUUGGAGGUGUUGAGCAUGGAGCUCCUCUUAACCAAAUUUUACAAUCAUGUCAUCCAUGCGCACUUCCAGGGUCUCCCCUAUCUCGUCUUAAAAGAUCUUGUUCAUCAUCAUUUGAUAUGUUGCACCACCAUUCUUCAAUCCAAAAGGCAUGGCAUUGUAUUAGUAAUUGGCUUGUUGUAUCAUGAAUGUCAUCCCUAUCCAGUCGAGCCCGAACAUAAGUAUUUGAUUAUACCCGAAGUAAGCAUCCAUGAAUGAUAAUAACUUGUACCCAACUGAAUAAUCUACAAGUUUUUCUAUGUUCGAGGGCGGGUAAGAGUCCUUCAUGCACACUCUAUAAUAUUCGUAUAAUUAACACAUCCUCCAUGCUCAUGAGGCUUUCUUUACUAGAACGACUUUGGAUAGCCAUUUCGAUACUUAUCCUUGGAAAUGAAUCUUGCAUUUAAUAGUCCUUUGAUUGCGCUCGCGGUAGCUUCAACUUUCUCUGUAAACUGCCUUCAUCACAUCAAGGAGACAUAACGAGCGCUGAGAUCGACAUUCAACUGAUGGCAGGCCACAUUAUGGUCAAUGUCGAGCAUCUCGUGCAAUGAGAUAGCGAAAAUAUUUGUGUUGGCUUGAAGGAAUUCGAUUAAUGUAGAUCUUACCUCCAGGGGAAACCCAAAUACUAUCUUUACCGAUCACGUGGGAUUAUCACCGAGUUGGACGAUUUCAAACUUAUUGUCAAGGACGGGCCUAACUUUAUCCACACGAGUAUCCAAAUCGAACAUAUUGAUACCUCCUGGAUUUUCCUCAGAUUUUGCUGACGAUGCGAGGAUUUCAUACAAAAUAAUUUCUUUGACAUUCCUUGCUUCCUUAAGGUCGGUGUUGGUCACGAUCGAACCCCUUUCCAUAUCAUGGUAUGCUAUCUUGAGGUGGACAAGGGAAGCCACAACUUCAAUCCUCUCCAAGAAGGAUCUCGCCAAAAUACAUUUGAAUUUGUUUCUACAUGGAAUUACAAGGAAGUUAACGGUUACCUCUCUCCCUUAAACUCCUUUUCCUAAUGACAACAUCAGAUUUAUCGUGCCACAAGGGCUAGUCGCCGAGUCAUUGAAGGCCAACAGAUUUCCCCCACAAUACAUAUUCAAAUCUGGUUGUCGGAGGCCUAAUUGCUACAACGUGUCCAUUUAGAGGAUGUUGUAGGAGCUUCAAUAAUCUACGAGGGUUCUUGUCACAUUUAAAUCAAUGACGGUGAUAGUUAGGAUCAACGAGAGGUCGAAGUUCGAAGUACCACCGAUCCUCUCUCGAUCUUGCAAUCCUAACGCCAAUCGAUCUUUGUUUUGCUGACAACACUUGUCGUCAGAAAAGGCAUUAUAAUUGCGGAUCGAUAUUGGAUGUCGUUGCACCAAGGAUCUCAUCAAUAGGUGAUAAUUGGUGGAGGAAGGGAUCGAAAGAUUCGGUGGAUCUGUUUGACAUAACUAAUGGAAAUAUUGCUUCCAUUCCAAUGUUUCUGGUAGAGAUAGGAUUUUAGGUCGAAGAUGAUUUGCUCGUGGAAUCUCGCGGGAAUAAGAAGUUUAUUCUCACAGACGGCGUCAGUGUUCCGUUUUGGAACCAGAAAUUAGGUGUGAGCUGGUGCUGAAGAAUCAUGAAUUGGUGUGAUGAUCUCCGAUACGACGGUGCGAUGGUGGAUCUGCAAGGUUAACACUCUAAUGUCCAAGUCAGUUCAAGAAUCAAGAUAAUUAUAAUGAAGAGUGGAGAUCAAACAUAAAAUCUUCUAUUUUACGUGAAAUAACUUUAUACAUAAGAUCAUUUAGAGUGGAUAUUGACUUGGACCUUAAUUUUUUCGGCCUUGCUGGCCAAAAACAAUAUCUAAAUAUUCUACUUGAUUUAUAAAUAUUUAUUUUUGUCAGCUUUUGGUCAAUUCAAUGGUAAUCUUGCAUAUUUUUCUAAAAAAGGAAUUGAUUAAUUGAUUAAUUCAAUAAGUGAAGAAUUGUAGCUAAGUAAAAGUCUCAGUAGAUUCUAAGUGAAAAAUUAUUCUAAAGACUUGAGUUUUAUUUCAUAAAUUUUAAAAUAUAAUUAUAUAAUAACUAAAUAAAUAUUAUGUGAAAUACAGGUUGAUGAGUGUUGGUGAUUUUAGUAUCAUCAAUGUAAUUUUAGUAGUAAUGUGAUUUACUAUAGGCCGAUGCAAUUAUGCGUUAAAGCUUGGAAACGAGUUAGGGGUGGUGCGGAGUGCACGCUCGUCGAGUUAACGUAUAAUUGAAUGCGAAUAAUUGAAACGGGCUUCCAACGUUCGAAAUUUUCUUUUAAAUUUUGAAUCCUUUCCCAACCGACGUAACCGUUUCUGAACAGUUGCGUCUUUUCGGUUUCUGUUAUUGAUCUCCUAUAUAAGGAGUCAUUUGGCCUCAGUUUGUAAACACAUAACGAAACCAAACUUUCUCUCUACAUUCCUGAACAUUUCUCUUUGCCAGAAACAAAUUGUUCUUCAAGAAUUAUUCCCACAAAGAUUUCGUGAACCCAGGCAAGAAUAGGGUCGAAAUACUUUGUUCGGAAAGUGUACGAACACGAUUCUUCGAAGUUAUCCAGGAUUAUCAUACCCAAUUUUCUAACAAUGAGUAUAUGCUCACAAUCUUUGAAGGUAAGGAUAUACUCCACCUGGAGGGAUUGAUUCAUUGAGUUUAUUACGAGAGAGAUUUUUGUAAUUGCAGAAAAAUACUAUAUAAAUAUUGUGAUGAAGACAAGUUAAGGUUCAAAAUAGAUACAGUUUAUAAAUAAAAUUGGCUAUUUACAUACAUAAUUGUCAUAUUGCCUAAAAGUUUAUUUUAUAGUAUAAGUCCAAUGAACUAAUUCCACCUAAGAUUCCUAAAACAUGAACCAAUCACAAAUGAGUUUGUAGACAAAACAAAAGGAAAUAAUUUCAUUGCCAAAAUAUAAUUAAACGUACAAAUAUUUAAGACAUGAUAUUGAAUUUAAAUUUGGAAUAUCCAUGCAGACUCCAAUUUCUCAAACUUCUGCCAAAUCCAAGAGAAAACAUUAACUCAAAAAACAAAAAACAAUUUUUGUCAAAACUGAAAUUUGAGACUUGAAAGAGAAUGAAGACAACACAAGAUCCAAUAUCUAAAGGAAAAUUAGAGGCCAUUUUAAAGAAUUUUUGACAUAGUGUAUGGACAAAAAAUAGUCAAUAAAUAUAAAUAACAUCAUAUAUUAAGUGGAAAAUAAAAGGAUACUCUCGAACCAACGUUUUACACUGGCUGACCUCCGAACCGAGAUGAGAUUUUACACAGGAUACUCUCGAAACAAGAUGAGAUUUUACCCGGGUUGAUCUCAAACUAAGAUGAGAUUUUACACGGCCUAAUCUUGAACCAAGAUGAGAUUUUACACGGGUUGAUAUCUGUGGCGCCGCGAAAAAUACCUGAGUGCAUCACACGCUCGAAGAUACAAUAGAUUCGCCAUCGAAUUUUAUUUAUUCUAAAAGGAAAGAGAAAAUAUCGAUAAAACACAGGGGAAGAGAAAAAGGAUAAGAAAUUUGAUUAUGCAAGUGGAAGGUAUUAACACCCUUCAUAUCUGUUGUACUCAACGGGAAACAUUUUGAUUGUUCUUUGCUCGAAUGAGUGUUAUUAUCUAUAGGUUACUUGCGAAUGAUGAAAGGGAAAUUUUUUUAAUGAUUAGUGUGAAAAAGUAAUUUUUCAAAUAAGUUGCUUCAUGUUAUAUGCUUGAAUCCAUGCUAAUGCAAUGCUUAAUUCAAUUCUAUGCAAAAACUAUGUUAGAAACUCCUAUGUUGAUUUUUCUUUACUACUUGAAUAUGUUUUUUGUGGAUGCAAAAAAAGUGUUUAUUGAAUAAGUUAUUCGGUAUAAGAGGAUAAAUUAAGGCUCUACCACAUACAUUCAACAAGAAUAAUUCACCCAAGAAUUCAUGACAAUGGUAUGAAGAAAAAAAUGGAGAACUACCAACGGAGCAGAGGUUUGCUCCGGUUAGAAGUUCUUUGCGGACGACGCGUCGAAUAGAAACGGAAAACCUCGAGAGAUAAGCUCUUACACUUCCAUUAACUCCUAAGCUUGAUCAAUGAUGAUUGGAUGUAGAAUCUUAUGGAUGUGCUUGAAUUUUGAUGAUUGAAAUUGAUGAAUUCUUGAUGAUGAACUUUCUUGAAUUGUUGAAUCUUUUUAAAACUUUAAUGAUUAUGCUUGGAAUUGAAUGGUGAAUUAUUUUUAGAUUGUGGUUGAGUUCCAUCAUCUUAGAACUUCAAUGUGAAGUUCUAAAAUGGUGAUGAAUAUGAAUUUUGGUGAGAGUCAGGGAGUGAAAAAGGGAGAGUGUAUAAAAAUGGUGGUAAAAAGUAGUUAUGGUUGUUAAUAGUGGUGCAAAGUGGUUAACCUCCAAAAUUGUGACAAAUGAUAUGUUUAUAUAGUUUUUGUGAAUGAUUGUGAAUCCUUAGAUUAUGAUCCAAGUAAAGCCUUUAUCAAUGGUUGAAAAUUGGAAGUUAGAAAUUGUGUUAGUUUGAUAGUUAGAGAAGUUAGGGGUAAUUAGGUAAAUGAAUGACUUGUGGAGAAAUAGGUAGUUAAUGGUAGUUAGAGAUCAUUCAUGUUUGGUUUUUGCAUAAUUACUAAUUUAGGGGGUUAGGUAAAUGGUCAAUUGGUUAUAACUUGAAAUUGACUUGAAUUUACUUUGAUUUUACUUUGGAUUUUAGCCACUUUUUUCAUGCCUUUUUGAUGAAUCAAACCACGGACUUAAGUGCUUUUUGGGAGUGGUCUUGUGUUGAAAACAAGUACUUUUCAGUGGUUUAAAUUUACAAAUCAAAAAUCGGAUAUUUUGUGCAUAAAAUGGCUUGAAACAAAGUUGAGAAAUGUUGAAAAAAUAAAGGUUAUAAUGCAGAACUUUUCCGAAGUGUAGAAUUUUUCUCAUGACUUUUUUGUGACUUUUGAAUGGUUUCAAUCUAUGAUAUUGAUGAUUAAUUUGGUGUAUCUUCUUCUUUGCAGCAAAGUGAGCAUUGGGGUGGGAGAAUGGGCUCGAUGUGACAUCAGAAAGUAAAGAUAGAGCCAUGGAAAUGAAGCUUCAUGGAAGAUGAAAAAUGGUUGGAAACUUGCAUUAUAUAACAUGUAACAUAACCAUGAAAUUCUUCAUUUUUGAUGAAGAAUGAUGAUUCUUUUGAUAAAAUGCUUAUAAGGUAGGUCUAGGAAAACAUAGGAGUCAAAAUCGAGUUAGUGGUCAAAAGUUGACAAUAGUUGACCAAAAAGUUAAUAGUUGACCAAAAAGUCAACUUUAUCAAAUUAAUGUAAUUUUUUAUCCCCUUUUCUUGUAAUCCAUUUUUUCAACUUGUAUCUCAAGUAAUAAGCAUUGUAUCAUGAAUUUACAUGAAUGAAUAAAAUAUUCGUUGAAUUUCCAACGUUGAUUUUUUCCUUAAAUUCAAGCAAUCUUCCGAAUCAAAUAACAACCAUUCCAAUCCCUCUAACAACCAGGAAUCCCAAAUAAACAGAUGUUCCGCACCACAAGUGAUAUGAGAAACAAAGCCGAAUAAUUACCAAAUAAUAACCAUGCUUGAAAAUCAACUCAAACUGAUUAAAUCCACUAUCACCGAACUUUGACCUAACGAUUCUACUAUGCAAAAUGAGAUGAAUGAUGUGUUAAAUGCAUGACUUAAUUGAAUGAAUUAAGGACCAUGUAUGGAGAUAAUUUUAAUGUAAGCCAGACGAAUUGAAUGAGGAGGUAAUUUGGGGUAUGACAAUAUCAAUACGACAAAAAUUUUACACCCGGAUGAGCUCAAGAACCUUUGUAGACAUUUUAUUGGACGAUCUUCACAAACCAACCGAGAGCUUUUGUAGCAGGUAAAACUCACGAACCAAACAAAUACUUCAUAAGAUGAUCCCCAAGCCAAACAAGA